UGUCCUCACUCCUGGUGGCAGUCAGCCAUACUUGGUCACCCACCACCAUUCCCUCCUUGAAGCUAAGGGGAACUGAUUAAGCACCUCUGCAUUUUCUCCAAAGUUAUUUCAUUACGAGAUGCAGAAGGGUGAGCACAUCAAUAUUUAAACAAGAGGUAAUUUUUGUAAAUUAGAGAGAGAGAGAGAGCAAUUCCCACCCCCACCCUUCUAAUGUUUCAGAUUGCGUGUGGUUGUUCUUUGAAUCUCUUAUCCCUCUGGGAGGAGAGCUGUUUGGGGAAUGGGGUAAUUUGAGAGGGAAAACUGGGAAAGAGAGAGUUAAAAGCAUUCUAAUCACAACCUGGCAGGUGGAGGAGUGCUGAAGAAGGGCCCAUUAGAGAGAGAUGAGAGGGGUUACAGCAGGCAUCCCCAAACGGGGCCCUCCAGCUGUUUGGGGACUACAAUUCCCAUCACCCCUGACCACUGGUCCUGUUAGCUAGGGAUGAUGGGAGUUGUAGUCCCAAAACAGCUGGAGGGCCAAGUUUGGCCAUGCCUGGGUUACAGCAUAUCAGAACAGGUAAGGGAGUUCAGGAGGUUGGGGGAGCAGACAUGCCUUCCAAAGAUGUCGAGGAGGUUGUCAGCAGGACAGCAGGGGUGGGUGGCGGCUGGCUGGCUUGCAAACACUUCUUCAUUGACCAAAGUUGCUAAACCAGUGUCGUGUGGUGUGUUUCCUUACAGCUUGUGAAGCUGGAUAUGUUUGUUUUAGACUGUGGGUUACUGCAACAUGUGAGUGGGGCCUAUGAAUGUGUUUCCAACCACGCUGUCAACGGGCCACCCAAUUUCACUGGAGCUGGAGGAUCAGCAACCCCUUCCAUUGUAUCUUUCUUUCUUUCUUGUUUUUUAUGAUUAUUUUAUAUUUUGCCCUUGUCAUUUUAUUGUCCACUGCUCUGGGUAUUUUAUACAGAAAACGCACUAAACUCAGUUCUGUGAUCCUCCAAAGAAUCAUCUUUCUGCACCACAGGAGACACUCAUGGGGCCCAUCACAACAUAAGGACAUAAUCUGUUAUUUUUCUCUUGAGUAUAAAUACUACCGAGGAGGAAAUGCUGUUCAUCUAGCAUACUUCUUCUUUAUCGUCACAACAACAAACCCUGUUGUUUGUCACUAGAGAGAGUGUGUGAUUGGCCCAAUGUUAUGCUGGCCUUCAUGACUAAGCUAAGAUUUCAAAUCCAGCAUUCCCAGUUCAGCUUUUUGUUUACAACAGUGCUGACGUGUGUGUGUGUGUGUGUGUGUGUGUGUGUGUGUGUGUGGAUCUUGCACUUUCUUGACAGUUUCUCAUCAAAGAAUAAAUAUAUUUUGUCUGUUUCCACAAUUUGUAUCAUGAUCAUGGCCUAUCUGAAAUAUGAAUGCUGUGAAAUGUGUUGGUUGUUGUGUUGGUCGGCUGUAUCUUUGAGAGAAGUUGGAAUGGAUUUUAUUGAGUUCCAGGUUAAAGUUCUGACAGAUGAAAUAAAUCUUGGCUUCUUUGCCCCAAUAUCAGAUAUUUAAUAUUGUCAACAUUACCAAUACAGAUCAGUGUUAAAGAAUCCUCUCUCUUUUUUAGUUACAUGUAAACAUUUAGUUGAAUAUAAACUAACUUAUUGAUAGUCUAUACACAGAAUGGUUUAUUGAUACUUUUGUCAGAUUUCAUAAUAUUCGUCCUUCUUAAUAGCUCCAUUGAUUUGUUUAGAGUGGGAAAAUAAUAACGGUAGAUAAUAAGGCAAAGGGGGGCUAUUUUCUCUUGUAAAAACAAAUGCUUGAAUAAUGGUAGAUUCAAAGAUGCUGAAUUUCUGCUACAUGCUCCCCCCCCCCAAAAAAAAACCCCCAACCAGUAAGUUUUUAUAAAUAAUUGCUUGAAGGGUUUGGUGGGUGGCAAGAAAGAGUAGCAUGGUAGCAAGAAAUGGUCUAUGAUGAGAAGUGAAUGAUACAAGUGGCACAGUCUGCAGAUCAAGGGAAAUAUGAGAUGGAAAAUCUGUGAUAGUAUCUCAUCACUCUUUCAUCCUUCCUAGCAGCUGCUGUGGACAUUUCAGUCAAAGCAUUUUUAAGUGGGGGGGAGGGGAUUAAAACCUACCUCCACAUCAUUUCCUCAUUUGGCCACCAAAAGCUGUUAUUAGCCCUGCUGAGGGCAGGAUGAUAGAGGGACCUAUUUUUCUUAGUGGGGCUAAAAGGAGCUUCAGGAGGAUGAUUUAAAUCAGAAAUAGCAUGGUGGAAAAAGGUUGAGCACUAAUAAUUUUUGUUUAGGAGCCAGGCAUCCAUAUUGGCCUGUAGAAAUAUUCUGGUUAUGUUUCAGAUGGAGUUUAGACUGGCAUAUCUACCCUAAGGUUCUGGGGUGGGUUAUCAACCCUGAGGCUGCUGGCAGCUCAUUAAAAGCAUUUGUUCCCUGGCUAUGGGCAGCAAUAUAGUGGAGUCUUGCCAUCACCCAUGGUUCAUUUUGGGUGUCCUACCAUGUGCUCAGUGGAAUCAGUUUGUUCUGUGUGAUAGUGUACAUGUCAAGUAACACGUUUGAGCACUGAGAUCUUCUAAUGGGGCCUUGCUCCAGGUGCCUUCUCUGGUUAUGAUGUAAUGAAAAGCAAGCAGUAUCUCAGGGCAUCCUUAAUGUCCCAGACACUGUGUGAAUGUUUUGCUGAUAAAUGUUUUGCUUAUAAAAUCAAAGUGACACUAAUUGCAUUUGCUAAGGGAAGAACAUUUGUAAAUGUUGACUUAAAUUUCCUCCUUUUAACUUUAAGACUGCUUGGCACUCGGAGAUACUGCCUUACUUUAAGUAUGGAAUGUAUGUGACCCACCCACCCCCACUACAGCUUUUCUGCUGCUGUCAUCUGCUGCUUCUUUUUUUGGCAACAGUGUUCUGAUUACUAUCAUCACCAAGAAUGCUGAUGUUGCCAGGGCUUCAGUUAUAGUUGAGUUGCUGCAGGAAUAUCUAGCAUAUCAUUUGUUUAAUUUAUUUAACAGACUUCUAAGACAGCUUUCAAAGUAUAAUUAUCUUUCCAAAGCAGUGUACAAAAUGUAAUAAACACAUUUUAAAACAAACCUGGGAGUUCAUAAUUAACAGAGAGAGAAAGAGAGAGCGUUUCAAGCUACCCAAGUCUAAAACUAUAACUUGGUCAUUGACGAGGCAUAUAGCAAAGAAAGAAAGUUAAGCCUACCCUCUUAAUUAAAAAACAGAUUGAAAGAAAAAGAAAAAGAAAUCUCUAGGGCUCACUUAAAAGAAAAUAGAGGGUGCUAAUUGUACCUCUUGGGGGGUGUUCUACUGAUGUGGGGCCACAUUUCUAAAUAUGCUUAGAAAUGUGUAUUUGGAUAAAUAAUACAUUUAAAAUAUGUAUUUAAAUAUAUAAUGAAACAAACAUUUCCAUGCAGUUCAAACAAGUAAUUAUCACAUGCAAAAGCAGGAUGGAAUGGAUUUCUGGGUGAACACAUGCAAAAAGUAAUUUGGAUCAGAAACAGACUCACGUGUCCCUAGACUGCUCCUGGGUCCUUCAGCAUAAAAAUCAGGUCCUCUACCACUGGGUAUGGUCGCCCCCAAAGGGUCCUAGCCACCCCCACUCCCCAGGCAUCUUGAACCUGUGUUCCAUGGAAGCCUGUAUAUUUUCUCGGCAGGCCUCCACACAAGGGAGCUUUUUGGGUUCUGUAGCAAAAUAAAAUAAAAUAAAAUAAAAUCCUCCUAAGAGAAACACAGGAUAAUUUUGAAAAGUAAAUAACCUCUGAAACUUAAGGGGGUAAUGUGAAUCUUAAAAACCCUAGUUUUUAAAACAAACAAAUGCACAUACAGAAUGUUUAUUUGCUUAAAAUGUUUGUAUCUUCUAAGUUUACAACACAGAUUAAAAGAUAAAUAGGUAAGGGUAAAGGGACCCCUGGCUGUUAAGUCCAGUUGUGGACGACUCUGGAGUUGCAGUGCUCAUCUCGCUUUACUGGCCGAGGAAGCUGGCGUUUGUCCACAGACAGCUUCCGAGUCAUGUGGCCAGCAUGACUAAGCCGCUUCUGGCAAACCAGAGCAGCGCACGGAAAUGCCCUUUACCUUCCCGCUGGAGCGGUACCUAUUUAUCUACUUGCACUUUGAUGUGCUUUCGAACUGCUAGGUGGGCAAGAGCUGGGACCGAACAACGGGAGCUCACCCCGUCACGAGGAUUUGAUCCGCUGACCUUCUGAUCGGCAAGCCCUAGGCUCUGUGGUUUAGACCACAGCGCCACCCACGUCCCAUAAAUGUUGUUGUUGUUUAGUCGUUUAGUCAUGUCCGACUCUUCGUGACCCCAUGGACCAGAGCAUGCCAGGCACCCCUGUCUUCCACUGCCUCCCGCAGCUUGGUCAGACUCAUGUUUGUCGCUUCAAGAACACUGUCCAACCAUCUCAUCCUCUGUCGUCCCCUUCUCCUUGUGCCCUCCAUCUUUCCCAACAUCAGGGUCUUUUCCAGGGAGUCUUCUCUUCUCAUGAGGUGGCCAAAGUAUUGGAGCCUCAGCUUCACGAUCUGUCCUUCCAGUGAGCACCCAGGGCUAAUUUCCUUAAGAAUGGAUGCGUUUGAUCUUCUUGCAGUCCAUAGGACUCUCAAGAGUCUCCUCCAGCACCAUACAUAAUUCAAAAGCAUCAAUUCUUCGGCGAUCAGUCUUCUUUAUGGUCCAUCUCUCACUUCCAUACAUUACUACUGGGAAAACCAUGGCUUUAACUAUACGGACCUUUGUUGGCAAGGUGACGUCUCUGCUUUUUAAUAUGCUGUCUAGGUUUGCCAUCGCCUUUCUCCCAAGGAGCAGGCGUCUUUUAAUUUCGUGACUGCUGUCACCAUCUGCAGUGAUCAUGGAGCCCAAGAAAGUAAAAUCUCUCACUGCCUCCAAUUCUUCCCCUUCUAUUUGCCAGGAGGUGAUGGGACCAGUGGCCAUGAUCUUCGUUUUUUUGAUGUUGAACUUUAGACCAUAUUUUGCGCUCUCCUCUUUCACCCUCAUUAAAAGGUUCUUUAAUUUCUCCUCACUUUCCGCCAUCAAGGUUGUGUCAUCUGCAUAUCUGAGGUUGUUGAUAUUUCUUCCAGCAAUCUUAAUUCCGGGUAGGGAUUCAUCCAGCCCAGCCUUUCACAUGAUGAAUUCUGCAUAUAAGUUAAAUAAGCUGGGAGACAAUAUACAGCCUUGCCGUACUCCUUUCCCAAUUUUGAACCAAUCAGUUGUUCCAUAUCCAGUUCUAACUAUAGCUUCUUGUCCCACAUAGAGAUUUCUCAGGAGACAGAUGAGGUGAUCAGGCACUCCCAUUUCUUUAAGAACUUGCCAUAGUUUGCUGUGGUCGACACAGUCAAAGGCUUUUGCAUAGUCAAUGAAGCAGAAGUAGAUGUCUUUCUGGAACUCUGUAGCUUUCUCCAUAAUCCAGCGCAUAUUUGCAAUUUGGUCUCUGAUUCCUCUGCCCCUUCGAAAUCCAGCUUGCACUUCUGGGAGUUCUCGGUCCACAUACUGCUUAAGCCUGCCUUGUAGAAUUUUAAGCAUAAUCUUGCUAGCGUGUGAAAUGAGUGCAAUUGUGCGGUAGUUGGAGCAUUCUUUGGCACUGCCCUUCUUUGGGAUUGGGGUGUAGACUGAUCUUCUCCAAUCCUCUGGCCACUGCUGAGUUUUCCAAAUUUGCUGGCAUAUUGAGUGUAGCACCUUAACAGCAUCAUCGUUUAAAAUUUUAAAUAGCUCAGCUGGGAUAUCAUCACUUCCACUGGCCUUGUUAUUAGCAGUGCUUUCUAAGGCCCAUUUGACUUCACUCUCCAGGAUGUCUGGCUCAAGGUCAGCAACCAUACUAUCUGGGGUGUAUGAGACAUCCAUAUCUUUCUGAUAUAAUUCCUCUGUGUAUUCUUGCCACCUCUUCUUGAUGUCUUCUGCUUCUGUUAGGUCCUUUCCACUUUUGUCUUUUAUUAUGGUAAUCUUUGUACGAAAUGUUCCUUUCAUAUCUCCAAUUUUCUUGAACAGAUCUCUGGUUUUUCCCAUUCUAUUGUUUUCCUCUAUUUUUUUGCAUUGCUCAUUUAAGAAGGCCUUCUUGUCUCUCCUUGCUAUUUUUUGGAAAUCUGCAUUCAAUUUCCUGUAUCUUUCACUAUCUCCCUCGCAUUUUGCUUGCCUUCUCUCCCCCGCUAUUUGUAAGGCCUCGUUAGAUAGCCACUUUGCUUUCUUGCAUUUCCUUUUCAUUGGGAUGGUUUUAGUUGCUGCCUCCUGUAUAAUGUUACGAGCCUCCAUCCAUAGUUCUUCAGGCACUCUGUCCACCAAAUCUAAAUCCUUAAACCUGUUCCUCACUUCCACUGUGUAUUCAUAAGGGAUUUGACUUAAAUUGUAUCUUACCAGCCCAGUGGUUUUUCCUACUUUCUUCAGUUUAAGCUUGAAUUUUGCUGUAAGAAGCUGAUGAUCUGAGCCACAGUCAGCUCUAGGUCUUGUUUUUCUGACUGUAUAGAGCUGCUCCAUCUUUGGCUGCAGAGAAUAUAAUCAAUCUGAUUUCGAUGCUGCCCAUCUGGUGAUGUCCAUGUGUAGAGUCGUCUCUUGUGCUGUUGGAAAAGAGUGUUUGUGAUGACCAGCUUGUUCUCUUGGCAGAACUCUAUUAGCCUUUGCCCUGCUUCAUUUUGAACUCCAAGGCCAAACUUGCCAGUUGUUCCUUUUAUCUCUUGACUCCCUACUUUAGCAUUCCAAUCCCCUAUAAUGAGAAGAACAUCCUUCUUUGGUGUCAUUUCUAUAAGGUGUUGUAAGUCUUCAUAGAAUUGGUCAAUUUCAGUUUCUUCAGCACCAGUGGUUGGUGCAUAAACUUGGAUUACUGUGAUGUUAAAAGGUCUGCCUUGGAUUCGUAUCGAGAUCAUUCUAUCAUUUUUGAGAUUGCAUCCCAGUACAGCUUUUGCCACUCUUUUGUUGACUAUGAAGGUCACACCAUUUCUUUUACAGGAUUCUUGCCCACAGUAGUAGAUACGAUGGUCAUCCGAACUGAAUUCGCCCAUUCCCGUCCAUUUUAGUUCACUGAUGCCCAGGAUGUCAAUAUUUAUUCUUGCCAUCUCAUUUUUGACCACAUCCAACUUACCAAGGUUCAUAGUUCUUACAUUCCAGGUUCCUAUGCAAUAUUUUUCUUUACAGCAUUGGACUUUCCUUUCGCUUCCAGGCAUAUCCGCAACUGAGCGUCCUUUCGGCUUUGGCUCAGCCGCUUCAUCAGCUCUGAAUCUACUUGUACUUGUCCUCCGCUCUUCCUCAGUAGCAUGUUGGAUGCCUUCCGACCUGAGGGGCUCAUCUUCCAGUGUCAUAACUUUUAUAUGCCUGUUGUCUUUGUCCAUGGAGUUUUCUUGGCAGGGAUACUGGAGUGGCUUGCCGGUUCCUGCUCCAGGUGGAUCACGUUUGGUCAAAACUCUCCACUAUGACCUGUCCAUCUUGGGUGGCCCAGCACGGCAUAGCUCAUAGCUUCUCUGAGUUAUUCAAGCCCCUUCGCCAUGGUGUCCCAUAAAUACAAGUAUGUAAAAUAAAAUAACAAUAAUACCACAGUAAAAGAGCUGCAGUUUGUUAUUUGUACUGGAAAUUGUAGUUCUGUGAGGGGGAAACCACAGUUCCCAGCAUUUUUUGGCAGAAAUAAUGUGCUUUAAAUGUGCAUUGAAUAUGUUUUAUGUAUAGCGUGGAUAUUACAGGGAUAGAGUACUUUUGCAUUCCCAAACCUGGUGCAUUCCCAAACCAUCACCCUCACCACUGGACAUGUUGGCUGAGACUGAUGAGAGUUUGCAUCCAACAACCUCUGGAGGGCACAAGGUUGAAAAAGGCUGUGUAUUUGUGAGCUAAGCUCCUUGACCUCUAAAUAGCUAUAUUGAUAUAUAUGUCACCGUAAGCAUUAUUAUAAUGUAAUUAUUUUGACUUUCAUCAUAUUCAGAAGCCAAUUUUCAUUGAUCAGUGACUGUAAGGGUUAACUUGCAAGUUAAAAUUUCCAGACCCACAUGCGGCAAUUCCCAUGUUGGAUAUGCAGGAAACCUGCUGAGUGACUGGAACCUUACAUGUGACUGGAAAUGGGCAGAUUUCCUAUUCCAUUCCUUUCUUGUUCCAUGCAUUUGCUCUGCCCUGCACCCCCACUCCUCCUCCUGCCACAUGAUACCUGUGGGUAAUUGGUAGUGUGUCAGCCAUGGACGCACUUUUCCACUGCCCUGUCGUUGUGUAACAAGAACAAAAGAACAAUGAUUUCCAAAAGCAAAAAUGUUAAAGAGAUUAACUAGGAUUUGUGCAGUGACUUCAUGCAGCUGACAUGCACUCAGAAUUGUGCAGUGGUUGGACUUGGAAUCUUCAGUCUUGACAAUUUUUACACACGGGAGGCAUUCUUUCAACGAUGCACUUGCUACCUGGAGGACAGAUAUGAUUUAUGGCACCCCAGCAACUUGGUCCAUUUUAAUUUCCGUAUAUGAAGAAAAGAUGCUAGCUAGUCAUGUAAGAAGAGGAGACAGGCACAAAACAGAAACGAGAAUAUAUAGGGAAGGAGCUUCAGAGUGGGGAGUCUGUGGUGAUAAAAGGAACAAAAGGAAUUGAUGAGAUUAUGUGAAUAUUUGUGUGCAUGUCUAUUAGUAUCCAUGCAUCAAAUCAAGGUUUCUUCAACACUGUGCACCUGGUAUCAUAGCAGACUAAUUUGUAGAUUAGGUGCCCUAGAAAAUAAAUGCACAAUAUGGGGUUAUUCUGAUUGCUGUGCCAGCAUAACCUCAUCAACCAUAAUUUAUACUUCCGGCACUUAGGACUCUCUGGCAGACAUGCCAAUGCAAACAUUUUAUGAGCGUGAUUCUGGCCCUGGCUAAUGUUGCAACAGCGCUGAAACUGAUAUAUCUGUAUAUCCCUGUCUUGGAUGGGAGACCACUGGGAGUUACAUGUGGAAACAUGUUGUCAUAAUGUGUGCGUGUCUACUGAUAAAUUCUAUUAAGUCUAGAAGAUGCAUAUGAAAGGGCAGAGAGAGAUGGAAAGGUCAAUGCUACCAUGCUAGAAAUGGAUGGGUAAGGCAGGUCAUGGCAAGAUACAAAUAGGAAGGGAUCCACUGCAUAUUGCGGCUUUUCAUUGGUGGCCCCUCAGUUGUGGAAGAGUCUCCACAGGAAAGUUCACCUAGUGCCAAUGUGGCACUAGGCAUUCUCUCAGGAACUUGAUUUGGUUGGAAUCUUUUUCUAACUAUUUGUGGAGUUAAUCUUUUGGUUGGGUGGGAUAAUAUAAUAUAUACUGUAUAUCUUUCCCAACAACACUGCAGCCUGCCUUCUUUUACCUCGUUGUUGUUGUUGUUGUUGUUUUACUUUGGCAAGUAUAUUUUAUUUGCAAGGUAAAUUGGCAAAAUUAGUAAGUAUUCUGUGCUUCAGACUGGUACCCCAUUGGUUUUUCUAUGACCAUAAUAAAUGCUCUAACAAAGAUGCCUCUAAAAAUAGUAAUAAACAUAAAAGGGAAAUGACCGUGUGAUUGUUGCAGCCGCAAAAAGCAUAGGAUAGGAAAUACCAACAGCUGUGUUAACUCUGCAUGACAUUGCAUUAACUUGAUGUGAGUGUUCUUCUUCUGAGGCAAAUGUGCCAGUUAAGGAUAAUGUUCCACUUAGCCCUUCAAAUACAAAAUUUUUGUCUUUGUUUUGUUAGCGAUACUCUGGUGAACCUUGUAACUUCCACCCUUUUCGUUGCACACAUCAGUGAUAAUGCUUUCGUUUUUUUCAGUUCUAAUAUAUUGAUAAAUACCGCUGAUUCAGAACGUUUACAUAAUCUUUCCAAUGUCAGCAGUCAUUUAAAUUAUCCUAACUUUGUACUGAAUCUCUAAAAUCCAAUUACCAGCUAAUAAUAAUUGUCAGUUUUACUCUAAACCUUUAAUGAUAGGUCACAAGGGAUGUUGUAUCAGAAGGAUUAAAUCGUUGGAGACGGUAGCUGUGCCCAGCCUUAAAUUACUAGCCUCUUAUCUGCUGGUAACAGAGCCACUAUAUGUUUUGUCGCCAUUUUUGCUAAAUAGAAUAAAUGUCACCCAAAUUAAUUUCAUCUCUCUUAAAUUAGCUUCUUAGUGUGAUUUCUCACUUCAGUCAAAAAUUUAUUUCCCACCAGAAUUAAAUUUCCUUCGUAAUCUCUUUUAUUUGCAAGAGGGAGUUGAGGGGAGGGGUGAGGAGAACGUUAAGGAACAAAUGCUGUUUAAUUCGUUCUUUGAGUAGCUUUGAACUUUUAUUCUUCUUAAAGAAUAGAUGGUGCAAGAACAGGAACGUUCAAUAGAUCCAAAUCCAGCCACUAUAAGCUAUGAAUUGAGAUGUGCACCCAGAAUGGCAUGGUCACUCUGAAUUAUCUGGGGAAAGGCAUGUGUAUGUGAGCGGGUAUAUACUGUAUUCCCAUGAAGUGGUUAGUCCAUUUCUUACAAUGAGGAGACCGCUCCAGACCAAUAUUCCUGGAUACGGAACUGUCCACAAUAGUGACAUGAAUAGGAAGACACUUGCUUUCCAGGAGGUCUGUAUGUGCAUUAGAGGUGCUAGGGAGCUUUGUCUCAACGUGCAACUUUUGGCACCCUGGUUCCUCACCUGGGUAUGCAUCAGCUCUUGCCCCCAUCUCUAUUCAUCCUCCUGGCCCUGUUUGCCAAGUUUUGGCAAGAUCUCCUUUGGAUACAUUUAUCCUCACAUCUGGAGUGUACACUUCAUUCUCCUUCCCUCAGUGACUCUUGGGGCUUUCAAAUUAAAUUUGAGACAUUGGUUCCCAUGCCCAUAAUAGCUGCUCAGGUGGGUUUAUGGUAUGAAAAAGUGAACCCACUGCAAUUCUUCUUUCUGCUCAACUGCUAAUAGAAAAGCAGCUAAUUAACUGAACUACAAAUCAGGAAAUCUCCUUUUCAAAUCUCACCUCUGCCAUAAAUUCACUAGGUUGCCUUAGGCGAAGUACUCUCACUGCAUCAGUCCUUCAUUGGCAAUAUGGAGAUAAUACACUGCUGUUGAAAAGAUUACAAGAAGACAUAUGUGAAGUGCUCUAAGCAUUCUAAAAGUGCUAUGCAAAUGCUAAUUGUUAUUCAUUGUUGUAAGUGAAUGAGCCUUGUAUGAAGUCUGGCAGCUUUACUAUUCUAGUUUAGUCUUGCCAAGGAUACUCUGAUUGGUAACUAUUGCUUACUUCUUCGUUCCUCCUCCAAAACACAGGGUUACCAAGUUUAAUACCUAGCCUUUCCCACUAUUGCUGAAAUGCCUUGAAUACAGGGCCAGCCCACCCAUGAGGCAAGGUGAGGCAACUGCAUUGGGCGGCAGAAUCCACUGGGGCAACAGAUCUGGCCUCCAAGGAAUGCAUCACCCAGUGCUGCUGUUGCUGCCACAGUUGGAACAACAGAUCCUUGGAGACCAGGUCUGCUACCUCUUCAGCAGCCUCCCUCCUCCACGCCACCUCUACGGUGUCCUCUUGGCAAAUAGGAGGCACUGCUGGUCUCCUCCCACCCUUGUUCCUGGUGUAGAUGUCUUCUCCCGUUGUUCCAUUUUUUGGUUUGCCUCAGGUGCCAACAUGUUUUGGUCCAGCCCUGCUUCCAUAUUACUGUCUACACUGCCUUGGAGCAACAGGCCUCUCACUUGUGACUUCAUCCCUUGCUGCCUUUUUGGCAUCAGAGUCACAUAAACCAAGUGAAGAUGAGGUGCUGGGGAGUCUUGGAGAUGAACUUGUAGGGAAUAAGAGCUUUAGUUUGUGUUGAUGAGAGAAGGGGGGAACGGUUUGGGGAAAUAUAUGAUUAGAAAGAGGAAUUGACUAUUUUUGAUAGCUGGCUAAUAGUCAUCUUUAUUAUUACUGUCAUUUACCAAUAUAUUUUUGUUAUAACAAUAAAAGUGCAACACUCAAAGGACCCCAAACCUUCUGUUUUUUUGUUUUUGUCUUAGUAAUGCCCUAUUAAGGGCUACCAUUGCUGAACUUUAUAGCUUUGGGGAAAUAUGAGUCCUCCUUGUUUCACGGGAGAGCCUCUCAAAUUCCAGCAUAAAAAUUUCUUAUAGAAGAUCAAACCUCAGACAGUGUGUUCACUCCCUGCCUUUUAAAACCUGACCACUUUCUUUUUUUGUGCAUUAUGCCUGGAACUGCCUCUCAAAACACCUGUGUGAUGCUGUCUCUCAUUUCUUUCAAAUUCCUCCUCAAAAGUCCACCCCCAAUAAGUGUGUGCAGUUGAAAUAUAGACAUAUUUUCCCUAUAGACCUCAGCCACUACCUUCCUCUCCUUCUGUUGCCACUGCUGUGUUGAAUUUCAGAUUGUGGGCUGUACCGUAUGAUAUAGAAUAUGUAUGAUGAUGCAGAAUGUGUCAGUAUUUUCAUUCUCUUGAAUGAUCCACAGGACACUUCUCCCAUAUAAAAAUGGAAUAUUUUAUUAAUCCAGUGUGACAUAGGUGUUCCAUUCAUAUUGGGACCAUGUAAGACUUCAUGCUCCCCUGUCCCUACGUAUGGAGGACCUGUUGAGGUAAAACUACAAGCUGAGCCAGGGAUCAGUCCACAGCCCCAAACAGACCCUUGUCAAGGCCCUUUAAUGGCACAACAUUCACAUGGUUUGAACAGUACUUCUGCUCAUGUUUUCACCUCAUGUGCAAGCCAUCUUUCGAUGCCUUUUGCCUCUCUUUGUGCUUGUCAUUGUUGAGCAUCAUGGAUUUCCUCCUUCCACAACCUUGCAGUCAGUUCCUUGCACAUGUGUUUGCUUGGAAGCAUGAUGUGCCAUAAAUGAGAGUUGUGAGAAAUGUUGCGCACAAGGAAUGCUGAAGGUUAGCCCUAAAAAUGCCAAGUUCCCCGUCUCAGGGAUGAGCCAGGGUAUACUGCUUUAGACAAUGUGGUUGCCCUUACCAGUUUUUAAUCAGAUACAGAAAAAUAUACCUUUAAAGUCAUAGCAUAACUGGGAACUGUGUUAGGGGAACGGAAAUAUACUUCAUUACCAAUGAAAAGAGCUUAUUACUCCAGAAAUAUUGCUGAAGAGAACUGUAAAGAAACCACAGGCUCUGUAGGCAAAUUUCUCCUUCAGGGUAUGAAACACAUUUUCCAGAUACCUAUUAGGGAAUUCCAACCAGAACAAACCAUCCUGUUUGCAAUUUCCUUUUCUUUUUAGUUCUGUACUUUUUGAGAUAGGAAGCUAUCAUCACAAUGGGGCAUAGAAUCCUCCCACAGAAAUGGCUGAGUAUGAAAUGGAACUGCUUCUUUGUCUGAUCUGCUGCUAAAAAGCUAAGUCAUUCCAAUGAAUGUGGAAAAUUCUUAUUGUAGAUGAAUAAAAUCAGCAAUAUCAGGUGAAAUUGUGAGGAAUUGGUUUAGUCCUCAUUUUUCCUUAAUGUCUUCUGUUUUUGAACAGUCCUCCCAUCUCUGGUUGUGUGUAAGAAAUUAAUAAAUGAUGCACCCAAUGCAUUAACUACUUUCCAUUUCUAUCCUGACAUACUGAGUAAGUGCUCUGUAGUCUUGAUCUAAUCUCCCUCCACCCAGUUCUCAACAUUCUGUUGCAUACAUUCUGUCACACUUUAGCAUGACCAAGAAAGGACCCAGAGUUAAGCUAUACAGACAAGGACUGCUUUGGUACUUAAUGGAGCUCACCAAGUGCUAUGGAACAAAGUAAAUUAACUACAACCGGGGAUACCUUUGUUUGCUUUAUUUACACUUUGCCUGGAAAUGUGACAUGUAAAUGUUUUAAAAUGAAAGAACAUACUUGGGCAUGGCAAACCUGUGCCACAGGGAAUCAUGUGUAUUUUGACUCAUACAGAAACUCUGGAACAUGUAAUUUUCAGGCGUCCUGACUUCUUCACUAAGUAGUCAAGAGCCUUGAAAAGUUACAUUGCUCAGGGUCCCUGACCUCUGGAACACUGGCAUUUCAGCCUUCAAGAUGCCAGGACGGUAAGGCCUUCCCGUUAUCACUAGGAGAAGCACCUAAGCUUUAGGCAGCAGUUCUCAACCUGUGGGUCCCCAGAUGCUGUUGGACUACAACUCCCAUCAUCCCUGAGCUCUGGCCUUGCUAGCUAGGGGUGAUGGGAGUUGUAGUUCAACAACAUCUGGGGACCCACAGGUUGAGAAAGGCUGCAUUAGGGGAAGGGGGCAGGUGUGAUGGUGAGGAUUCCAUCCAAUUUAUUCCAUCACAUUCAUUUGUUUGAUUGCAUCAAUUAACUCAUUGCACUGUCUUGAAAGCAUAAUGCUGAAAAGCAGGUUACAUUUUUUAAAAAAUAAAUUAAUAAAUUAAUAAAUUAAUUUAUUGAUCUCAGUCUUCUUUGGAGUUUAAGCUUAGCUUCUAAAUACGGCCUUUUUGACAGGUGGAAAAAGACCCUUUGGUUUGUUGUUAAGGCUCCCUCAGUUCCUGUGUGGCCAAAUUUAUUCAGCUUAUUAGCCAUUAAUAUUUACAAACAGAUAGUAAAGUCUGGAUUAUAUCCACCAAGAUAUAAGCAAGCUCAAAUGUUGGGGUGUCCAGUUCAUGAAAACUUCUUUAAAAGAUUGCUAACAAUCCAGGAACUAAAACAACUUGAUUAGUUAUGAUGCUUCUCUAUCAGUUGCCAGAAAAUCAAGACAACUGAUAUUUUUUAGCUGCAUGACUUUGGUUAGUAGAAACUUUAUAACUUAAGCUCCAUCCCCUGAUUUGCUGAGCACACCUAGGUUCUGCCCCUAGACUGGCUAAAAAUUGCUCAAUUCUACCUCCCAAACCCACCAAAAACCACUGGGAUUGACACCUCCUGCUGCCUCUGAAUUCUGUGUCCUUUAACCUAGGUAGCUCCUCCGACACAACCUCCCCAGGUACCAAAAUUUAUAGUUGGAAACCCAAAUAUCAAGGAUGAAAACCCAUCAGUCAUCAUACUGAAAAGUAAUGAGAAGCCCUAAAAAUCUGCUGCAAAAAUUGUGACUGGGUGUGAUGAUGUGUAUAUUAUCACAUUAGUAUGUACACAGAAAAUAAUUCUGUGUAACUCUGAUCUGUAAAUUGCAUGAGUAGCCCCAUCCUAUGUAUCUUUACUUAAAAGUAGGUCACACUGGAUUCAGUGGAACUUACUUCCCAAUAAGUGUGGAUAGAAUUCAACUGUACACAGAUUUUGUCCUCUAGUUGCAUAUAUAUCUAAUUUGUACACUCCAUUAACAGUAUAAAAUGGAUUAUAACAAUAUAUUUCAUAUUGAUCCCCUUAACUUCCACUCGUUGGCAGUACCUUUCUAGUGUGUAUAAAUUGUUCAUGCAAGAAGUAUAAUAUUGUAAAUUGCUCUUUGAAUGAGAAGAGUUUUUUAAAAAAUCUACAGGAAGCACUGAAAAUGCAAACAAUGAUCAGGAUUCCAAAAACUGAGGUUUAGUAGUUUGUGUUCCUCUGUGUACAAUGUUGAGUUACGUUUUUUGAAAUCCUAAAAUAUUUGUAACUAAGCUCAAAGUUGCCUGGAUUUGAAGCUAGAAAAUGGUUCUACUAAAAUUGUCAGCUAAACUUUAAUGAGGACUUUUUCCUCCCUGUCUUUCUUUUUUUUAAUAAAAAAAAAAGCUCCAUUAUUCAAAUUUUAAACAUGAUUAUGAUUAUCCAUUUGUAUCAGUCCACCUUAGGUGUCAAGAGACUUGCUUGUAUGCAUCAUAGCAGCUUCUCUCCAUUUUAUUUCAUAUUCAUUUUUGCAGACCCUCAGAUUAAUCUCUUAAUCUAACUAGCCACCCUCACAACCACUUUUAUUUGUAGUUCCCAGAAGCAGUGAGCAAUAUUGCUACAUUAAUUAGAAAAAUAUUGGGGGUGUGGGAUGAUGGCAACAUCAGUGCUGACACUCUUAAAUUCAAAAUUGGCCAUCCUCUGCUUCCAAGAGCCUGACAACCUUAGCAGCAAUCAGCUCAUCACAUCUCUCUGUUAUCUCUCUCAGGUUUUUGUGACAUCCUUCUUGUCAUAAUUUUUACCAGACACAUACUCUUCUUUCUUCUUGGCCAGUAUGUCUCGGGACUGUUGCCCUUUGCUCCCCACCACAAAACUUAGUCAAAAUGAAAACAAAUUACAUGAAAAUACAAGCCCACAAAAGCAGCAGCUCUGCAUCCUACCACCCCGUUCUUUAAAAGUACUAAGGCAAUUUAGUUUCUUGUUUCUAUAAUAUGGAGAAUAACGUUUUGUUUUGUUUUGUUUUGUAAAGUUUAUUAUUAUAUAUUUUUAUUUCAGAUGGUGAAAAAACUUGCAUUAUGAGUACUUCUAGAACAAUCUACACGUAUUUCAAAGUAACAAAGCAGAAUGUCUUUCAGUUUUAUGUGAAACACUCCUGAGAAAUGUUGCUAAUGCUAUUGAAACUGUUAGCUUCUCCUGAAAUUUUCCAGAUGUUUGCCUAAGGAAGAACCUCUAAAUCCAGUUGAGGUAAAAUCCAGUGGCAACGCAGAAGUGUGUGGAACUGGUAUUAGAUUACAAAAUUUGCUAGUCAUCAAGACUCCUUUGAUUUCCCUGAGAACCUAAGGAUUUACCUGUCUGAACCUAACAUUCACCUAUUUGAGUAAAUUCCAUACUGUGUAAGUGGGGCCUUUCAACAAAACAUUGCAGUUUAUCCCCAAUCUGGGCCUCUCUAGGCUAUUAUUUUAUUAUACUCAAUUGUAUUUUGUAUUUGGUUGUUUUAUUGUAUUCAAUAUAUUCUUAAGAAAAUAAUAGUGAAUGUGGUGAAUUUAUUCUGCUUUAGUUUGUUUUGUAAUGCUUCCCCAAUGCUAGCACAUUGCUGCUGUCUGGAAGAGUUACAGUGCAACACAAGCAGGAUGAAAAUAAACUAAAGCAUUGGUGGUACAAAAAGUUAUGGGAUUUCAGCAUGUUACAAGACAUACCUUGAUUGAAAAUGAAGCAGUGUGACUGCCCCAAAACUUUUGCAGGCACAAACAGUAUUGAAAACAGAAUUGUUUGAGACAACCCUGAUUGCAUCAUUAGCGCAAUAAUCAACAGAAAUAUGGGCACAUACAAAUGAUGUCUAGAGGGGCCUUCUCUAAAAGUAGUAUUACUGUUGAGUGCUCCAACCAGUGUGGAACCACAGCUUUUAGUGCUGCUUGGGUUUCAAGAGCCCAGAAAGAUUACCCCAGAAAGGGGACGCGGGUGGCCUAUGACUUGCCAAUCGUAUGGUUGGCAGUUCGAAUCCCCGCGGCGGGGUGAGCUCCCGUCUUUUGGUCCCAGCUCCUGCCCACCUAGCAGUUCGAAAGCACCCUUAAGUGUAAGUAGAUAAAUAGGUACCGCUUUAUAGCGGGAAGGUAAAUGGCAUUCCGUGUGCUGCUCUGGUGCUGGCUCGCCAGAGCAGCAAUGUCACGCUGGCCACAUGACCUGGAAGUGUCUGCGGACUGCGCCGGCUCCCGGCCUCUAGAGUGAAAUGAGCGCACAACCCAGAGUCUGACAAGACUGGCCCGUACGGGCAGGGGUACCUUUACCUUUAAUGAGGACCAGCUUUCAACUCUUAACUCGGGUGCUAUACUGCUUUACAGUGGUACCUCGGGUUAAGUACUUAAUUCGUUCCGGAGGUCCGUUCUUAACCUGAAACUGUUCUUAACCUGAAGCACCACUUUAGCUAAUGGGGCCUCCUGCUGCCGCCAUGCUGCCGGAGCACGAUUUCUGUUCUCAUCCUGAAGCAAAGUUCUUAACCUGAAGCACUAUUUCUGGGUUAGCGGAGUCUGUAACCUGAAGCGUAUGUAACCUGAAGCGUAUGUAACCUGAGGUACCAUGCAUUCCCCUGCCCUGGGCUCUAAUACUCUGCUCCAUGAUAACGAUAAGCAGGCCCCUUUUGACUCACAGUUUCAACAUUGCAUGGCUCAACUGCACUGAAAGGAACUAGAACUUGAACUCAGGCAGAGUGUCUGAAUCUAGAUACAGUGGUACCUCGGGUUAAGAACUUAAUUCGUUCUGGAGGUCCGUUCUUAACCUGAAACUGUUCUUAACCUGAGGCACCACAUUAGCUAAUGGGUCCUCCCACUGCUGCUGAUGCCGCGCCACUGCUGCGCAAUUUCUGUUCUCAUCCUGAGGUAAAGUUCUUAACCUGAGGUACUAUUUCUGGGUUAGCGGAGUCUGUAACCUGAAGCGUCUGUAACCCGAGGUACCACUGUACUAGAUUGACACAAAUCUGCUCAACACUCGUUUCCUUUUAUUUCUUCUUCUUCUUUGUAUCCCAUGGUGGAAGUUAGAGUGAGUUGUUGUGUCUACCUCUCCCUGAAUCCUGCCCUAGUCAUGUCGCCUGUUCCUUUCCAAUUUGUCCUUCACUUUCCUUCAAUCUUGUUGUGCCAUCCACAUCCUGACCUGCCCUGAAAAGCUAUGAUUACAGUGAUAUCUGCCAGCUCUCUGGAUGAAGUGAUAUUCAAUGCAGUUCUCAAUGCAGUUGCAUGACCACAAGGAGGAAUCUGACAUGUAAGCCUGUCCUCAGCACUGGUGGAGGAAGAGGAAUGCAAAGGGAGCACACCGCCCCCAGCAGCGCGAUCCCAGUGGGGUGCCAUCGCAGCUACCUCCCCCGUCCACACUGGGCGCCACACCCCCACAGGCGGCACACCACAUCCCCAGGAUGCGUGCCACGCCCCUGUGGGCAGUGCACCAUGCCCCCAGGAUGUGCGCCAGCCCCGCCCCUGCUUGCUCUCCGCCCCCCCCCCCCCGGUGCCAGAGCAUGAAGCUCUGCCACUGGUCCUCAGACCAAGAAAUGUGCAGAAAAUUCCUCAUUGAGGCAUCUUUUAGGAACCCCUCCCUGCAGCCCAUGUGGAUCUAAUACAAUUAUAUUAUUCACAUGCUGCUUUUUGAACACAUGUCUAGAGAAUCUCAAAUUCCCCCAUCAAAAAUAUAUUCUAUUUUCUAAAUUAUUUGUUUGCAAACUGUGGCAUGUUUUUAACAAGCUGUGAUAUUUGCCUUGCAGCUUUGCUUCCACAUCUUACAAACUCUCCAACUUGCCCUUUUCACCCCCACAGACCAUUGGUGGUCAUCUUUCUGGUCCUCUUCCUUCCAACGGCGGCAAACAGGAUAUGGAGGAAACUGCUUCCCCUGCUCUCUGUUUCCUGUCAGUCACAACACUUGCUUCUGUGAAGCUAAUGAAAGUGUGGGGUCUCUGGCUACACCAGGCCGCUUGUCUCUCUGCAUUUUACAGGGUGACAGUUUCUAUGUACAGUACUCAAAAACAUGCUCUUUGGUAGCAUAGCUUGAGGGUUGCACUUUAAUGCCUCUGGGCGAUGGUGGUGCAGUUUUGUUGUAGUGAAGGUAAAAUGCACUGUAUGCUACUCUUAAGUAAUCUUCCUAUGUAGUUAAUGCAUCAGUUAUCCUAUUUAAAAAGAUUGCUGAGAGCUUAAACCUUUGAAUUCAAGGUGUAAAUUCGUCCUGUCAAAUCCUAGCUAAAAUGAUGUUCAUGGUGUUUAGCCUAUAGUGAGGGGCAAGAGAGGAGAGAAAUCAACAGGGCAACCCCCUCUUGCUGAAUUCUACUGUAAGUUAAUUCUCCAAACUUCAAGCUAGAAAUGUAUUCUGUUGGUUCUAAUACUUUUCACUAAGAUAAGAAAACUUUAUAUAUGAUAGGGAUACACGGUAAACAGUAUAUGUUUUUGAACUGUUAUUGAUACGUUGUAAGCCACUUUAAGCACAAUUUUGUGAAAAAGUGGUAUACAAAUAAAUGUAUGAUCAUGAUAUGCACUUGGUGGCUGCAAUCCAUCCAGCUUGAACUUCCCAGAUGGCAGGGAUGGGAACCUGUGGUCCUCUAUAUGUUUUGGACUACAAUUCCCAUAAUCCAUGACCUUUGGACAUACUGGCUGGGGCUGAUAGGAGAUGGAGUUCAGCAACAUCUAGAGGGCCACAGAUUCCAGCCAUGUGGUCUUCAACACAGCUCCAAGUACUCCACACGUAUGCCUCUCAGCCUCUUUUCCACUAGGACUGCCACCCUGUUUGGCCCUGAUAACUUUGACCAUUGGCUACUGAGUUAAGAUGGUUUUUCUGCUCCCUCUCACUCAUUUUUCCCUUUGUUGGAUUAUCUUGAAUUUUGAAAAAUCUUCAUGCAACACAUUUAGGUGAGAGUCAGUGUGGUGUAGUGGUUAAGAGCAGUAGACUUGUAAUCUGGUGAACCGGGUUCACGUCUCUGCUUCUCCACAUGAAGCUGCUGGGUGACCUUGGGCUAGUCACACUUCUCUGAAGUCUCUCAGUCCCACUCACCUCACAGAGUGUUUGUUGUGGGGGAGGAAGAGAAAGGAGAAUGUUAGCCGCUUUGAGAGUCCUUCAGGUAGUGAUAAAGCGGGAUAUCAAAUCCAAACUCUUCUUCUUUAUAAAUGGUACACAACAAAGGCAAAACAGGCCCAGUAUACCUGAAGGAGCUUCUCCACCCCCACCGUUCAACCUGAACACUGAGGUCCAGUUCCGAGGGCCUUCUGGCAGUUCCCUCACUGCGAGAAGCGAAGUUACAGGGGACCAGGCAGAGGGCCUUCUCGGUAGUGGCACCCGCCCUGUGGAACGCCCUCCCAUCAGAUGUCAAAGAAAUAAACAACUAUCUGACGUUUAGAAGACAUCUGAAGGCAGCCCUGUUUAGGGAAGUUUUUAAUGACUGAUGUUUUAAUGUAUAUUUAAUCUUUUGCUGUAAGCCGCCCAGAGUGGCUGGGGAAACCCAGCCAGAUAGGCAGGGUAUGAAUAAUAAGUUGUUGUUGUUGCUGCUGCUGUUGUUGUUGUUAGCAUUCCCUCUGUAGUACUUUGGUGUGGGGGACAUUGUGGGGAGGGGUUCUGCCUCAGGUGGGAGUUUGCAGUCUAUUAUCUCAUUGUCAGCUCUUUUAACAAGUACGCUAUUUCUUCUACCCACAUUGGUAAAGCAGUUUAGGGGAAGGAAGGAGACAGGCAGACUCGCCAGGGGAGUAGGAAAUUAUUAUAAAACAUACAUAUUUACAAGGGGGAAAAGAUUCUGAGGGAAAUAACACAGUGUAUUAUAAAAUUUAUCAUUGAUCCUAUGAUUCUGAGGCACAGACAUAAUAUUCCUUAAACAAAAUAGAAAACUAAGCAAGGAAGGGAAGGUUGCAAUUUCAUGUGUUUAUUGGGGAGGAGAAGAGUAUUAAGAAGUGGAACACUGAUUUAUUAAAAGAUUUUUGGGGGGAUAGCGAACUAAGGCUCUUAAAGCCUUAGUUCAAAGGGGAUGUUUAGUACUAGGAAAUAAGACCAUGCGUGCCCUUUAUACACUAUAAUUUAAGGCUGAUUUGUAGAACCAUUGUGCGGGGAAAAUAUUAUAACAAUAAUUUUGUUGGAAGAAGGUUAAGCACAUCUUUAUGAAAAGCCGGCAUUGUACAAACAGUCCUCUUUCUGGUAUUGUUCCCUUAUUGCUUUGUAGCGUGUGCAACAUCCAGGUCACAGCUAGUGCAAACCAGACAAGCUUAAGCCGUGAUGAGUGAUAUUUGGGGGUGGGAGAGAUUGGGUGGAUCUGGAUUGUCUCAAAUAGAGACCCCAAGCAGAGAUCUAGGGCUGUCAAAUACAUUGCGGGCCUGUGGGGGGGAAAUUCUGCAGUGAACGUCUGCAGAGAUUGUGAGUGAGUAGUUCCAGACGAGGCCACCUUGACAAAGGUAUUAGGUGUAACAGGACAUGCUGGUGUUGUGAACACACCGGCAGUUAUGAGCUUUCUAAGCAAAUGUUUCUCAUUUCUCCCCCCCCCCUUCGCCCCUUUGUUUGUUAAGUUGGAUUGGGUGACUGGUGCUGAAACAAUUUAAUCCAUGUCUGCGGAGCAAAGCAGAGAGAACCCAUUAUUGUGUUCCUUCGUCACUGAUUGCUUUAUUGUUCUUGGCGGGGUCUGCCUUUUUUCCUCAUAGAAGUUUCAUUUUGCAAUUGUAGCGGUAAUAUUUUACAUGUGUUACUGUGUCUUUCAUCACAAAAGCGCUUUGCAGACAAGAUAGUGAGAAAGAUGCAGCUGUGCGUGCCCAGCGGUGAAGUGGUCUUAAACUUUAGGUCAUAAACAUGGCCUCUGCUGGAACAGGCUGUAGCCGUACCUCUUGAGUAUUCUUAUUCUUCAGCUUGCCAUUAAAUACAGUAAAAAUAAAAAUCAGAACUUGCAACAUGAACCUGCUCUUUUGUGCAGCUUCCGGUGUUACUUACAGUGUUUUCAUGUGAUCAGUGCACAUUAAAUAAGUCGUGUGAGUGGAAUUCACCGGCAGUGUCACACUGUUACAAACAUGCUGUCUGCACAAGCAUAUCGGCUUGCCCGACUGAAUGAGCCUUCCUCUUCCUCCAUAUGCUGUUCUGGGGUUUCCCCCAACCUGCCAAGCCAAUUUCGGGGGGCAGGAAAGGCCGCACAGGGGGAGGAGAGACCAAUCAUUAAAAAGCAAUUAAACAUUUACAGAAUUUAAUCUAGCUAUCAUCUGUCUAUCUAUCCAGGCAAUGACCAUUUUGCAUGCGUUCAAAGACUGCACGACUGUGUGCAUCUGCAUCGCCGCAAACCCGGAAGUGGCAGUAAAAUGGAGCGGGGCAGGCUUGCCUUGCCUUAUACAUGCUCCACUGUCAUGCAUGAUGACCCAGAACACUUUAUCUCUCUCUGUGUGUGUAUAAAACAGACAGUAUUAGUUCAUUGUUACCUAUUUUGUUUUGUGCUUUUAUAAAACCCGGAACUGCAUGUGUGUGUGUGUGUGCACACACGUGCGCAUGUGUGUAUAAAUAACAAAAAGUAUUAACACUGUCUCUCUUCUUAGUUCAUUGUUACCUAUUUUGUUUUGUGCUUUUAUAAAACCAAAAUGUGUUUUAAAACACCUUGCAUCUUGUUUUGAAAAUUGGUGUUCUGUUAAUGCAGCCUUCUGUUGUUUUCUGUGUUGAAAUAUGAAUAGAAGAUGUAACUUUAAAACAAAUUAUGCAUUUAAAGCAUAAUUUCCCCCAAUUUUAAUCCAAAGUAAAGGUUGUUGUUUUUUUAAUUGUGUUUUUAAUUGUGUAUUAGUUUCUGGACUAGAAUUUGAAGGUUUUGCUACGCUGCUACUUUGCAAAUUUAACAAUGGUAGGAUAAUAGGGACACUAGCUUUUCAUGCAGUAAGCAUGUUCAGAAGAAUCUUAAGGUUUCCAGAAGUACGGGGAGAGGACCCCAAACCACUCAAUAAACAAUCUACAAUGGCCAUGUGCUGGGGUGGGGAGUGGGGAUUGAAUGAACUAUAUUGGAAUAAGCAUGGCUGGAUGGAGCAUUCAACGCUGCAACAUUUUGUUGCAGAUCUCACUUGUUAAAUAUAUUCUCAAUAUGGUACAUCAAAAGCCAGAUAACUGUUUCCCUAGAAACUAAGUGAGGGUGGCAGGCCUGGAGGACACUGUGCUGCAAAAUGAAAACAACAAAACAACAAAACAUUGAAUUACUAUUCACAUAAAUGGGCUGGUGUUACCCCUUUCUUGUGAGAGGUUACAACAGCGUAUGCCCCCUUGAGGCUUCAGUAGUGAAAUGCACCCAUAAAUGGGUGAGUUAAGUGCAGGAAGAUCAGUGACAGUAAUUGAUUAAUGGGUAUUUAGGAAGCAGGGGGGAAAUGCAGGUUGCAUGCCAUUUAUCUUUCCAUGCUCUGUGCAAAAACUAUAUGCAUGGAAUGUUUGCUUUGCAGCUGCAUUUGUUCCCUUUUCUGCGUUAAUAUUCACUUCCUAUCAUGUCAAAGGGUCAGCAGGGCGAAUCCAGGAGCCAGAUGUCUUACCUCUCCCCUAAGGAAACAUAGUGAUGCUUAGCUGGGUAUUGAACCAAAUAAAGCCCGGACCAGAAUCCAGAGUAAAUGCAAGAGCUGGUUUAAAAAUGUGUAUCCUCGCAUUUGCAGCUAGGACUUUCUUAAGGCACUAGCAUGGUGCUGAGGUUUUUUUUUUUUUUUUAAAGUCUUCUCUGCCACUCUCGGCUGCUUUCCCCCAGUAACUACGUCUAGGAAAAAAUUACUGGGGGGCAGUGGAUGUGUGUGACUCGUUUUAUUUACGGCCCCUGCUCCGAAACAAGUUUCAGUUAUUUUAAUCUGACUGAAAUAAGAAACCAUAAUCCAUGGAUGAAAAGACAGUGGACAAACUCAGUUAAAUCUCGAGUACCCCGAGGACAUAUAUUUUGUCCAUUUUUCUGGUUCUUUAUGUCCCUUUCCCUCCCCUCCCCUCCUGCCGCCGCUAUUCCCAACUUUUAACUUUUGAAAAGCCAAGCAGUUUAAGAGGCCGGGCCUGGGGAACUGAUUGGUAUGCAGCAGCAAUUUCAGGAUCUGUUCCCAAGCCUGUGCAGAGUGAAAAAUGGCCUGCAUUUUCUUGAUAGCCCAUGUGGUUGUAAAGAAUAAAUGGCUAAUGAAUUACAGAUGAACAUUGACGCAAAUUAAUCUUCCUGAUGUCCCUGGGUUAUAUGGCAGCCAUUUAAAAGUUUAAUCAAUACACUAAAGUUGAAAACAUGCAGGCACUGCAGUUGUUUGGAUGUAAUAAACAUCAGAGGGAAACGGGAGGCUUGUACCCAGUCCAUGUAUCAUAAUGACAGGUAUUUAUGUUUAAUGGACUAAAUAUUUUUUAUUGGAAGAGAGCAAAUGUCAGCCUAACUUUGUAAGCCCUGCAUUCAACUUUCCUUUGUGGUUGGUGAGAGACGGCUGACAUGUCAUUGAAAAUGAAAGGGGGAGGGAUGCCAAUAGAGACAAAGCCAAGGAUAAGGAGCCACAUUUGCAAGCACACCGUGCUGUUUUUAAUGCUCCACAACCAUUCAUUAAAUAAAAAUGUUGACUCCAUUUCUAGCAUUGCUGUAAACUGGUUUACUGGGGGAGGCUUUUAAUGGGUAUUAGGGAAAAACAAGAACCAACCGCUGCCAGAUAUUCUUUUUCCUGUGAGCAUAUUAUUUCCAGUGUCCUUUUGCAAGUUUCAGUUUGGGAAGAUUUAUAAUUAGCCCUUCUCCCCUGAAACCCCCACCCGGCCACUUGGUGAGACAAGUAGAAACAAGGAAAUGACUUUUGGAACCUGCGUUUCCACAGGCUUUUUCCUUUGGAGUAGAGUAAUAGCUGUGUAUAUGCUUUCCAAACACUCUGAUAUUAAUUGCACUUCGAGUCCAUAAAUUUUAGAGCCAUCAUGCUAUUCAUCUUUGCUAUAAACAGAAAUGCCUCUCUCUCCCUCUCCCUCUCCCUCUCCCUCCCUCUCUCUCUCUCUCUGUGUGUGUGUGUGUGUGUAGGUUGCAGGAGAGGGAUCAUCCUUGCUUACCAGUUUACAGUGGUACCUCGGGUUACAGACACUUCAGGUUACAUACGCUUCAGGUUACAGACUCCGCUAACCCAGAAAUAGUACCUCGGGUUAAGAACUUUGCUUCAGGAUGAGAACAGAAAUCGUGCUCCGGCGGCAUGGCAGCAGCAGGAGGCCACAUUAGCUAAAGUGGUGCUUCAGGUUAAGAACAGUUUCAGGUUAAGAAGGGACCUCCAGAAUGAAUUAAGUACUUAACCCAGGUACCACUGUAUAACACAGCUGGCUGGGGGGGAGGAGGAAAUACUUUUAAAGGUGAAAUAAAGCUAAAAAUUGUGGUAGCCAUCCACUUCUAUGCAGCUGUGCUCCACUUUGGCAGGACAUGAAAUCAACUAUAAAAGGUCAGACCUGGCCAAAGUCACAACGGCAAAGGGCAGGGAGGCCAGUUUGCAGUAAGAACAAGUAUCCGUAAUGUCCUCUCUGGUGAGUUGACGAGAAGACAGCCUUGACCAAGAACCUGGAAAUCUUAUCACAUGACUUGCUCUGGCCUGCUGCUGUCUCGAAGGGCUUACUUGCUGAAACUGACCACUUACAAUUCCCUUCUUUUCUCUAGGUUAAGGGUUGCUGCUGCUACUGGUUCUUAACUUUUAGAAGGUCUUCAUAUUUGAGGGAGCUUUGUCUGUAAUAAGUAGGAAAAUGUAUUGUGGAUGGAGAGCGUCCAUAUUUUUAGUUAAGGCCGAAUUGUGCGUCAUAACCAUUUCAAAGUUGUGCUUUUAAUUUAAUCAGAAACAAGUGUUGGUUCAUUGUUGUUUUUUGAGAAAAGUCAGCAAAGAACAACACCAUUUAAAACAAGAAUUGUUUUCCAUAAGUUGCUUUGCUUGAUCACCUUAGUAUGUGAUUGCUGCAAUAGCUAAUAAGGGACACUGUAAUGAUAGCAGAAGUAAUGAAAGUGGGUGCAUUGGGGGGGGGUAAGUAGUUGUGAGGAUAACCUGUGGAGAACUGAAACCCAGGGUGGCAGCUACUGUGAGCCAUUAAUAAAGAGUUGCACUGUGUUGAGAAAAGUUUGUUUGCUCUACACUUUGGUCUCCUGUAGCAUCAUUUGAUAAAGUUUCAAGUGCCAAAUAUUAUAGGCUUUAAAUUAAAGGCAAUUAAAGUAAAAUGGUGCAACAAGUUAUCUCCAGUUACACUGGCCCCCCUGUACUUUACUCUCAUUUUGCACAGGGCUGCUGCUGAGAAUGGCUGGAGUGUUCAUGAUUUGUCAGGUUGAAAGGUGAUAACUUAAGGCCAGCAUCCAGUGUGAAUUUGACCCCUGCAUCCAAAAGGACUAACAAAAGAAGGCAGAACAUCCUUUCGCUGCAGCACUAACUGAUCAGUUAAUUCCAUUUAUGAAUUGUUUCCUAUGAAACAUCUCAAAGCAAUUUUACAAUAUAAACCCAUUAAAGUCUGGCCCAUCCCAGUUUUCAAAGGGGGCACGACUGAAGGUUCAUUCACACUUGCACUUAGCCAUAGCUGUCAACGUUUCCCUUUUUUAAAGGGAUAUUCCCUUAUUCCGAAUAGGAUUCCUCGAAAGAAAAGGGAAAAGUUGACAGCUAUGCACUUACCCCAUGCUUUCUAGGCAUGGGUCCAGAAGGUUUUUCUUUUGCGCCUCCGCAAAGAUUUGUUUGUUAAGAAAUCAGCGGUAAACGGUGGGCUUUCCUGGAGGAAAGCGGAGGCACAAAAGGAAAACCUCUUGGAGUCAUGCCUAGAAAGUACUGGACAAGUGGGAUGAGCCCUAAGUCUGCCUGGGAAAGCAUAUUAAAAGUACUUAUGAAAUUGUUGCUACCCCCCCAUAAGGCUUUGGAAACAGUGUAUUCAGCCAGCCACCUGCCUGAGCAGUUAACGUGUGGGGAGCAAUGGGACUUGAGGUCACAUCACUUGUGUGGGGAAUUUUAGGGGAGGGGGACAUGGGAGAGCCAACAUAUGCUGUGCACAACGCUUAGACAACCUCGUUGUGGCAUGCACCAGACUGUGGAUUAUGAAAUGAAUCACUGAUCUAGUCUGGGCCAUAGUGAUCCACUUGGAUCUGAUCAGGCAAGUCCGCUUUGGCAUCCAAGCAGGGACUGUGUCACUGAGGUACAAACUUAUCCUGCAGGGGUCAUAGUUCAUGGUCUAGAAAUAAGUUUUGUGGGCCUAUUGGUGCAAGACUGGUGAUGUUAUCACAUGGCAGUACUUCUGUUUCUUUGUUCAUUCUUACAGAGCAACACUGAAUAUUCUGUGACUUUGGUUAAGAGUCUCUGCCUUUAGUUCAGAUCUGGACAGAGCAGCCAAUGGACAAGUUGUUUAAUUUGAAAAUUGUCGGAAUACACACUGACGUAGAGAAUGGCAAAGUGAUGUACUGUGAUCUGGCAAGGCAUUCUCCUACUGCCACGUCCAUCUCGAAUUUCUGGAAUAAAAAUGUUAAUGACAGUAUGGAGAGAAAUCAAGUUGAGAAGCAUGCCAGUCUUAGGCCUCUGGUGUUUGAACCCCUAUCUUUGACAGCUAAGUCAGAAAUCAAGUAACUUUUGGUUCUGAUACUGUAUAACAAGCAUGUUUUAAAAAUGGGGUCUUCGUCAGUAUUACCCUGCAGACAUAACUCUGUUGUCUGCCAAAUCAUACUGCAUUUUAUUUUGACAAAGAGAGAGCAUUAGAGGGGGGGAGUCACUUUUCAUCACAAAGGCUUAGUAAGGCAAUAAAAAAGCCCCCCUCUCAAGACAUUGUCAUGUACUGCUGGUUAUUUGUGAUAGUUAAAAGAAUUAUUUGGAAACAAAGACAUAUCUCACAAAAGGCCUAAGUCGCAUAAAGCUUUAAUAACAUUUACAUCUGUGUUUCGUCCAUGCUUCGAAAUGUAACCCAUGAAUAACACAUAAACCACAGCAUAUAAAGAGCAGACACACCAGCACAUCAUUUAAAAUCCUACAUGCCCCCCGCCAUCGUCUGUGGAAUCAAGUACACAGCAGGAAUGGUUCCAGUUGAUAGGCGCACAAUGAAGUCAUUGCAGACAAAAACAUAUUAAUUAUGUUCAUUUAAGACUAAUAUAGGAAUUCCCUAAUUGUCCUGUAAUGCUGGUGAUUCAGAAAUCCAAGUUGUUGUGUGAGGUGGACAUGUAUGGUGCUUCAGAAAUGGUGGAAAUUGCUAAGGAUUGUCUUGGACUAAUCCUGCAAUUGUAACAUGCUUCCUGGCAGAGUCAACAACUCGUGGUGGUAACAGAGGACAAAACCAGGAAGAAUUGCAAACGAAGGAUGGGGGGGGGGGAGGAAGGAGUUGUUGGUGCAAAUAAGUAUCUUUGCCCUACAUGUGCUAAUUGUAAAAACAGACCAUUUUGAAAAUGCAGCUGCUACGUACUUAAGGAACCACAGCUGGGAGAAUUGCUUUGUAGUGCUCUUCUGUUAUGGAAGACAUCAAGAGAUGCUUAAUAAAGAGAAUCAAGAGGGCAAUGUCAGAGGGCAUGCGUGGUGGUUUUAUUGUUUGGUCUUGUUUGUCAGUAUUUGGUACCCUAGAUGAUUAUCAGAAAGAUGGACUUAUUCAUCUUCAGAUAGUUUUCUAGGUUGCUUUGUUAAUUUUUAUUCCUAAUCAAGAAGUGUCAGUGUAGCUAUGAGCAUCUGUAGAAUACAGGGAAACAAGGGCCACUUUCAGACAAAGCUGCCUAAUUCUGUUUGUAUUACACUCUUUCAUUUUUAACAUCUCCUUUGAGUUUUGAAGGAGCGUUCACAUGCCAGUUUACAAUUAGGUGCGUUUGAAUGCUGGCUCCCUUUCCCCCUGCUAUAUCCAACAUGCAUCAAGAAAUUUUCAGUCUUUAAUUCUAUGAGAUCUCAAAUUAUCUUCCCCUCUGCAAUGGGUUAAUAGUUCUUAUUUUGAUGCACUUUUAAAAUCCCGCCUCUGGGGAACGGUAUUUCAGUGAGAGCUGAGUGUAAUUGCUAAAUAAUACAGUCGCUCUGUCUUAUUUUAAAUGAGUAAUACUUGAAUCGUAACUGAUGCUGCCGUAUUAUGUCUAAACUGGGGCUAUUCCUUCAUGGUGUUUGAUGGCACCACAGAUGUAGGUGUUUGCGAAUUUAAGCCUCUAGGUUUUAAAACGCUGCACCACAUCGUUUUUAGCUCCUUUAUAUAUGCUCCAGAUUAUGUAUAAUUGAUGGCCUGCAUUUACUGACAUGGGUGGUAUACAGAUGUAAAUGUUAUUAUAGCUUUUAUAUUUUAUGUUCUCUCUGAAAUAUCAUUUUGUCUUUGAAUAAUAUUCUUGUUCAGGUUUCUGGGGGUUGGGUAGGCUGUGUGUGUGUGUGUGUGUGUGUGCAUGCACGCACUGCUGCUGUAGAUGUGUGUGUUAUCUUUAAAAGGGAAUAUGAAUUGGGUAUUGCACAUCAUAUAUUUCUUAAAAGUAAUUUGGAAUUUUAGGAUAUAGGAUUUGCAGUGACUGAUAGGCUGCCUGGAUGAGCUAUACCCCAUUGAAAAUAACCGCGCCGGUACAUGCCUACAUCUGUCUAACCUCAUAAUUCACUUUCACAUUGGGUUAUGGAUGUCUGCAUUCAGUGAGUCUAUCUCCCCUUCAGGUAUUAUUUCAGCCCUUUGAGAUAAUAAGGAAAGUUUAAUUGCGUUGUUAAUUGAUUUUUUGCACAACAUUAUUACCUUGAUUGAUUGCCGAGUUGAUGAAAAUGUUAGACACAGGCAGCGUAAAGUAUCAGCCCCGGUAAGGAGUGGGAGCCUUGCGGAGAAUAGAUAACCUUGAUGUUAAGAGCUAUAUCCUUCAGAUAUGUCUUCCCUUGACAUAUUGAUGGCCCUUGAAAAGGGAAAAGCUGAUUGUAUGCAGAAUGCAAUCAUUAAACCCACUUCAGCUAGCUCUUGAUUAAUUUGUUUUUUUUUUCCUGAAGGAUCUAGUUAAAGAGAAGACCUCACUGGUAUCAACAGCAGCCGUUUCCCAGCUAUCAGAGUACUCUUUAACCCUCUCAUGGUAGAAAGGAUAUAUAUGUGUGUGUGUGUGAUGUGUUAGGGGCUAUUUCUCAUGUCAUGAACUGGCCGAAACAUUGUGGUGUGAACAAUCCAAAUGUCAUCUCCCACCUCCACUUAAUAGCAGGGGCACAAUCCACCAGUGCAAAUUUAGUUGGAACUAAAGAGUGAACCCAUUCAAGCGUACAGUAGUAUUCUCUGUCUGACUCCCACUCGGUCACCCUUAAUGGUGCCAAAAACCUGCUACCUUGAGGCUUCUGCCGCAGCUUGCCUCAUGGUAGGGUUUUCCUUAUAUCAGGUUUACUUUUGUGCUGGGGGAAAAAAAGAGUACAUGGAGGUGCACCAAAAAUAUACUGUGAGAUUCACCAAACACACAAGUAUCUUACAUGAGAAGACCUACACAACUAUGCUGCUUCCAGAAUCUUACUUUUCUUGUGGCCUCUCUCCUACAGAUUUCUGUGUGGCACAUGUAUUAAGGUUCUUACAUUAUUAUCCCCAAGCAUUUCUUUACCAGUAAUGUUAAGUGAGAAGCCCCCUUUAAUUUAGAUUAGGAAAAUCUGACAAAAAUGUUUUCUUCUGACUACAGUUAGAAUUCUGCCCACAAUAACAUCCUACUGAAGUUCCAUCUUGGAGUGUUUGAGUAUUUGGUUGCUUCAGUGGGGCAUGGUUACCUACUGGUAGCUUUUUCAAAAGGGGCUAAUGCAGAGAAUCGGUGCUCCUGUUUAAUCUGUUACACUUUUUGCACCCAAAGUCUGCUUUCAAGUUUGUACUGUGGUCAGUCACACAACAUAUGCUUUUUUACUCCUGACUGAGCAUGGUGAGGUCAGCCUAUUUUGGUGAUACCAUGUUAGCACAUGCACUUGAGAAAGUGUCCAGUCCAGUCCAGGCAAGCUUCAAGUUGGUGGACUUAUGGCAGCAGUGUCCCAUAAGCUUACUUCUGCAAAUAUAAACUUCUUAAAGCAGUUGCUGUUGGACAAACUGAGUAAUUCGUUUGUUUGCCGUUGGAGAUGCAUGUAUAUGUGCACUGUCUUCGCUACGCAGGCAUUUGUUUUAAUUAAGUUUUUUUUUGUAGGAACACAAUCAAGGUAGCAAUUACUCUUACCAAUUAGCACAUGAAUCCAUGAGCAGCUGCCACUGUGCCAAAUUUGUAUUGGUGGCAACUCCAAGUCAUGAGUCUCUCUCACACACAGCAUAUGCCUGGCUAGAACACCAUGCAUAUUGAGUAUUUCGCAGACAUAGCCAUGCGCCAAUGGGGCCUUGGAAGAACAUGCCAUAGGGUGUGUGCUUUCUCGUGGUACAUUUCAUAGCUCAGUUCUAGCAUCUUGUUUGAAACACACUUUGAUUGUUAGAAGGGGAAAGUGUCAAUAGACCAAACACACACACACCCCAUGCACGCUUUUUUAACCUGGCAAAAUAUGGACAUCUUUGUCAUCUGUUGCACCAGGAAGGCCAAACCAUUAAGAUGUCAAGAGAUUUAGUGUGAAUAUAGUAUGUUGUUCAGCGUCUAUUUACAUCAUUUUAAAUAUUAAAAAUAGGGUUGAAAUACAGGUCCAGGAUCUAAAAGUUACUAAGUCUCAUGCAGUUGUGCUAAUCUAAUGGGCUGCUUUGUGGUUGUUUUAGCACACACAGCAGGUGCACACAAACAGACCCAUGCCGUAUCACAAACUCCUUUUUUUUGAAAUGCCUUUCAGUUUCAGAAGAAAUUUAUCAUGCAGGAUGGCAGGCUUCUGUUUGAAAAGAACAUGCCUGGAGCCUGUUUGGCUCAUGAAACUAGUCUUAUGGGUCUUGAGAUCCUGCCCCAGGUCACUAAUGUGGUGCUAUUAUUGAUGGAGGACACAUUGAUUAAUACAAAGUGGCAAAGGCACCACUAUCUGUGGUCUGUGUGAAAUAUUUUAUUUUCCAUUGGGAUUUAAUUUCUUAGGAGGAAAAAACAACCCUCUGAACAAUUAAAUAAAAUGGGCAAAGCUUUCUAACUUUUCUAAUUAUAGUGGACAGGGACCCUAACAUAUGAACACUCCAUCAAAAUGAACAGUUAGCAAGUGGAUUGCUUUGGCUUAAGGUAACCUGCAUGUAAUAAUUAUAUUGGUGUGUUGAUGUUCAUGGUCUUCUCCUGUAAGGAAGGAUGGGGUAGCUGCUGGUGGUCAUAGAAUCAGAGAAUUGUAGAGUUGGAAGUGAUAUCAGGUUCAUCUAGCCCAACCCCUUGGAAUACAGGAAUCCUGCCCACCGCUGUCCCUGGGUAGGUUUGAACCACCAGCCAUCAGGUUAACAGCAAAGACUGUGGUCACACGCCCAUGAAACAAAUCUUGGUGUUCUGAUUUAUAUCUACGGACUUUCAAAGUCACCUAAAACUUGUGCCUCUUGCUGUCAGGGCUUAUGGGAUACCACAGAAUAUUCUGGACCCAGUAUAGUGUACAUAGAUUGAGUUCUUCACGUCAAGUGUGUGUGGGGGGUGUCUCACUGGCUUCAUGCCCACUGGCUCUGUAAGCAAGUUUUAAAGGAAAUUUUAAAGAGGGGAGUUUGGACAGGAGAUCAGGGCCUAGUACAAAAGACCUGAGCCAUGGGGCCCCAUCAACCACCCCCCUGACAAAGUCCCUGGCUACCCACACCCACUAAAUACAGGACAGCAGCCUUUCCUCUCCCUGCCCCACCAGAAGGUGGUGGGUCAGACUGGGCUUAUUGUCCUAGUUUUUUACUUUUUGAAAUAUGGCAGCCCUAGAUAGGUGCCACAAACAAGGAAAGUUUGAAGUAGCUGUGAUGGUUUGUAAGAAAACUACACAAGUGCCGCUAUCUCAGCUAGGGAAGGACAAAUAUGUCUAUUUCCAGAUUGUGUUAAUUUCGCACAUGUUGAUAAGUCUGUUUCAUGACAUUUUUACAUUUAUCUGAUUGAUUGAAUAAAUAAACAUUUAACUGUAUUUUAUCUCUGUGUACAUUUUAAGAUGUAUUUUACCCUAAAGUAUGUAUUUUUUUUACAUGUUUCUUUAGUUCAGAACUGUAUUGUAAAAUACAGAGAAGUGUGAAAUCCAAAUAAUAAUUACACACUGUGUAAUAAAGUGUGUUAGUAGUCACUUCACUUAGAAAUGGGGGCCAAAUAAAAUUCUCUUUCACCCCUAAUUUCACCUUAGACUUAUGCAAAUCUAGUUCCACAUAACUUUUCAAUAAGCAGAACAGAACAACAGCAUUUGUCAUAAAUAUAAAGAUAUGGCAGCAAUAAAAUUCGGGUUCAAUGAAAUUCAGAACACUGGACAUGUUAUGUUCAGCCCCUUCCCAAUUACCUUUAAUGUAACCCCACCUUCACAUGCUAAUUGUGUGAAGAGGGUCCACUGAAAGCUCUUGCUCAUUGGGCAACAUCACACAGCUUUGCCAGGUCUACUGCCUCUGUGCCAGCUUUCUACAUGAAUAACUUCCCCUCCUCAGAUAUUCACACCUUUUAUGUGGGAUUUCAACUGCAUCCCCACUCAGAAUUCAUCAGGGGUGAGAAAGCCAUGUGGCAUUUGGGGAUGGACCAUCAUGUGCCCCCCGCCCCACUUUCUCCUUUCAAUGUGUAGGUCCCCUUCAUGUGAUUAAUGCAUGGAAGGGGCUAUAGAUGUUGCUUGCCCCACUUCAGGUACACAGUGAAUUAAUUUUUCAGUGAGCUGCUCACCACAUUCCAAAAACCACUUUCCUGAGAGUUCACAACCAAUUCAGAACCUAGUAUUUAGAAUUAAAAUUGUGUUGCAAUCUUAAACACUCUGACUAGGGAGUAGAUCCUAUUGAAUACAGUGGGCUUACUUUCUAAUAAACGUAAGAUUUUGCAGUCAUUUAUCGGAUGACCUAAAUUGGAGUAGCUAUUGCUUAUUGUUGCUGUUUUUUAAGUUUUAAAGGGCAAUCAGUGUAAAGAAUGCAGUGUAAAUAGAUAUAUUUUCGGAUAAGUAUUUUGUGCAUAUAUUUUUCUAAACGCAGAGAUAGAACAGGUUUCAUAAUGUUCACAUGCAAAAAUGACACAAACAAGGAGAAGCACACAAAUUGGUUUAAAUUUUGUCCAAGUGUCUUGCGGCAUCUUACCUUAAAGACUAACUGAUUAAUCUUGGCAUGAGCUUUCAAAGACAAGACGCGCCCCCUCCAAAUUUUUUUUUAAAAAGGUGUUGCUUGAUAAAGUGUGCUUUUGCCUCUGAAACUUGGUUAGCUUUUAAUGUGCCACAAGACACUUCAUUGUUUUUGUUACAACAGACUAACAGGGUUGAUCUUCUGGAAUUCCUCCGCAAUAAAAUUCUAUGUCCUAUCACACAUGGCGGAAAUAACAUGAACAUCAAAGCAGUUGCUUGCAUUUCUAUGGCAGCUCUCUCCCUUUUAAACAAAUGUCAGGUGGGCAGGGGCAGAACCUACCUGAGAAAUGGUGUUAAGUCUUAUCAAAAUACUUACUUUGCUUCCCUCAAAAUUCCCAGGUGUUUCUUUUAAUCGGGAGCUUCAAAUUUUGCUUCAAAAUAUAGCUUUUGGUGAAAUUCAGUAGUAAUUGCUGACCCAAAUGUUGCCCUCUGCAUUUUAUUCGGCUACAAUUUGGUGGCCACUGUUAAAACACACACACACACCUUUGAUCUUUCUCCUUGGACUACACAAGAUACGGUCGCAUUUUUGUUACUGUCAGCUUUGCCCGCAUAUUGAUGGUAAGUGGGAUUUUUUUCAGCCUCACAGAAGUCAAGUUUCAAUGCAGAAGGCUGAAAGCAUUGCACUUAUAAAUUCAAACCACUGAUCCUUACAAAACAUAAAGUGGACUGCGAAGGAAGUAAACAGGAUUGCUUUAAUUGUCCUCAAAGAAUACUUCGCUUGCUGGCUUUGGCCUCUUCGUUUGACAAAUUAAUGCUGCCCUCUAGUGGUCAAGACCUUCACUUCAGAGGCAAAGCAGCUAACGUGGGAAUAGAUUUCUUAGCUUUGGAAACUCGCUCUCCAUUCCACUGGAAACAACAAGGCCAUGUCUUGUGCUAUAAUUAUUAAUGCUAACCUUAAACUUACAUAGUAACAUCAGUCAAAUGUGAAUACAAUUUUGUUUCAUCUUUGGUGCUGUGUGUUUCAGAACCUGGCCUGCUUCUCCCCAGUAUCUAUUUGCAUUGCCAAUGAGAUAAGAUGUGCUGGGGUACCCUUUCAUGUACCGUUUCUUUCAGUUGCACAUUAUGCCAUCUGUCAGUUGUAUGCUCUAGUGACCCCUACCUGUAUUGCAGAAACUCAGCCCUUAUUUGGGAUCCAAGUGGCCACAUGCGGAGGUGUUUCUGAGGAUUCUUUUCCUAAAACAACCCAGGCCACAUUAAAUUCAAAAAGGCUGAAGGCAAUUGAGGAGAGGCAUCCAAUGGAGGGGGGGGGAGAGCUGUGUUUGGGGAAGGACAUAUGGAAACAUAAGGAUGUGCUUGCAUGUACCUAUGGGCCUCUUUUGGGUCUCAUCCUGAGAAUUUAUUGGUAUAUCUGAACUCCCAUUACACUCCAGUUGGGCUAAAAGGUAAAGGUAAAGGACCCCUGACAGUUAAGUCCAGUUGCGAACGACUCUGGGGUUGUGGUGCUCAUCUUGCUUUACUGGCUGAAGGAACAGAUGUUUGUCCGCAGACAGUUUUUCCGGGUCAUGUGGCCAGCAUGACUAAGCUGCUUCUGGCGAAACCAGAACAGCGCACGGAAAUGCCGUUUACCUUCCCGCCGGAGCAGUACCUAUUUAUCUACUUGCACUUUGACAUGCUUUUGAACUGCUAGGUGGGCAGGAGCUGGGACUGAGCAAUGGGAGCCCAUCCCGUCAUGGGGAUUCGAACUGCCGACCUUCCGAUUGGCAAUCCCUAGGCUCAGUGGUUUAGACCACAGUGCCACCCGCGUCCCUUUCCAGUUGGGCUACUCUUUCAUUUAUUCACAAUGCAUAUUUUUGAGAUUGUUUUGGGCUGGAGAUGCCAGAUCUUUUGCAUGCAGUGCACGUGCUCCCCAGCCCUAAAUGGUGCAAUCCCCCCCCCCCCCGUUUGUAUAUUGUUAUUAUGGAAAACCAACAGCAAAGCACUGUUGGAGAAUUUUAAAAAGAGGUUCCUAGAGAUAUACCUCCCAGAAACCCAAAAGAAAAUGGUGCAUUCUCCAAAUGUGCAUAGGGACAGCCUCAAAAAUAAGGGGACUGUAAAGAACCAUAUCCAAAGCAAUGUUUUUAAUACACUUCCAUAUUACACACAUGGUUUUUAUUCACCAGUCAAAAGAUCACAGCAAUCUUAAUAGAUGCAACCCAGUGUCAUAAUCUUGAACCAAUCAAAAUCAUUUGGUUCUUCAAAUCAGCCCUCCUCAUAAGAUCAUGUGAUUACAUAUAACCAGUAUUUCAGUGUCUUUAUUAAGAUUUAUUUUCCUAUUCAUUAAAUGUAUCCUAAUUUUCUUUUUUAUCCAUCUACAAAACAAUUCAAUAUUAAUCACAAUUGCUAUGCCUAGCCAAUUUUCUUUUCAUGCUUACAAUGGCCACCAUAUCAGGGUUGGGCAUGGCUGGCAAUUUUAAAAUACUGUAGCGAAGGUCAAGAACAAAACAGGUCUGGGAGCUCACUUUUAAAUUUAUUUGUUACUAAAUUAGGCUGGAAUCCUAAACUGGGCCAUGUGGAAUAGGGGUGACUAUGGCAGUUUAACUGCUUCAUCUGACACAGUGCAUAUCUCUGCUAGCAAGGUUGACUUGAAAUGCUCUGCAUUUUGCCAUCUAUUUCCAGUCUACCAACAAAAUGUUUAAGCUCCUCACCAACAUUUUUUACCCACCAGAAGCAAUGGAAAUGAAAGGAGAACGGGGAAUUAAACAUGCUAAGAAGUGUGCAUAAACAAAGAACUGGGAGGGCUCAGGGUCCAUUGGAUCCCAUCUGCUUCCUGGAACGCCCCCUUCUUGGAACUUAGUCAGGUCUCCCUCUUUGACAGCAGAGCUCCUUCUCUCUCUCUCUCUCUCUCUCUCUCUCUCUCUCCCUCUCUCUCUCUCCCCAGUGUCAAAGGGGUACAUUGGAUCUAUCUUAUGGUCCCUAGGACAGCCUCUAGGUGCAUAAGAAAUUAUAUCCUAAGUGGCUCUUUGUCCAUUUUCUAAUGUCUUUUCCUACCCUUCUUCCUCUGUUCUGUGUUUCUCUUUCCUUUUCUUCUCCUCUCUCUAAUACCAAAGAAAAGAGUGGUGGUACCUUUGAUGUGACCUAACUAAUGUUGGGGUGCAAUCCAGUUAUGGAAUCAGAAUCCACCCUUUGAAAAAAAUGGCUUUAAUGCAUCUACUCAAGGCAAACUUGAGGUAAUGGAGCUGGAAGUUGAACUGAGGGUGAACAUUAGGGAAAGAAAACACUCUCCUAAUUGCAUCAAGAUAGCUAGACUUGGUCAUGGAAUUUCCCCUCUUGGUGGUUUCCUACAACAUUUUGGAGUUGGCAUUACUUAAGCAGUACUUUAAUACAUUGUACUCUGUGCCUAAAGCACCCUUCAAACACACCCUUCAAACAAUGCCUGCUCAAAAUUUUCCUGAAAGCUACCAGGAGGGAAAAUUCCAUGAUCAUGUCUAGUCAUCUUGAUGUAAUUAGGAGAGUGUUUUCUUUCUAACAUUCACUCAAAAUCCUCCUUCAACUGCCGUUGCUAAUUUGCUUUCAGUAGAUACAGCAAGCUGUUGUUCUUCAGUGAGUGGGUGCUGGAUUUGCUGACCUAUUGGGUGAAUAUAGAUGACCACUGUCCCAACUUGACAUUUACCACAGUGUAAUUUGCAUCCCUUGGGAAGGUGCCCAUUUUAAUACUCUUAAGACACAUCCACAUCCAGUUAGAAAUUGGGGAGCGGGGAGGGAAGUACAAAAAAUGAUCCUCGUUGCUUGGCAGAAUUGGUAACAACAACUGGCUAACUCAGUGAUUCCAUGCACAUUACAUGUGACUCUGAGUAAACGCAGAAGAGCAUUCCCCAAACAGCAACUGUCCACUUGGCAAAUGGUCAUCCGUAUUCAGCUGUUGUUUCUCUUCCAGCUCUGUUAGCCUAUAAAACCAAACAUCCCAAGCUCUCUUCUUAAUAAGAAAAUAAGUAAAAGUAAGUAAGUAAGGCCUUCCACAUUGCAGUUUGUCAUCAUUUACAAUACAGAUGUCUUUCUGCAAAGUCACCAACCUACUCACACCCAAGGGUCACAGCUACUUUGAAUGAUUUAAGGUAAUAUGCUGUAAAUGGGCUCAUUUUCACCAGAAGGAGUGGAUCUGUAGAUAGCAUAUGCCUAGAUCAAAGGUCAUCAUGUCACUGUCAUUCAAGGAGGAAGAGAUUCUCCCUGUCCCCCCCCUUUUUUUUUACACAAACGAAGUAUGACAUCUAAGGAACAAUGUGUUGUUUGUUCCACUGCCAGGAUAUGCAUAAUGGAAACAUUAGCUCUGAAAUCUUUUUUUUUUUAAAAAAAACUGUCAACCUAAUGGCUCAGCUCCUUAACGUGUUAGAGAGCUUUAAACUAUAUAUCAGCCUGGGUCGUAUAAAGCAACCUCUAGAUUGUGGCCUGACUAGAUCAUAGUGACAUAAUACAACCUUGGAACAAUACAGCUUAUUAUUGCAUAUCAGCUUGUCUGCUUAUUCCCAAGGAUUUGGGCAAAUGCACUCCCCCGCCCCCCCCCCAACCCGGGAAAAGAUUCUGUGAGAAUUUUAGUUAUUUAAAAAUAGGCUUGCAGUGCAUCUCUGCCCCCUCCUGCUCCUUUAUUUCCUCUCUUUUGAAAAAGAACACACAUUUCAUCCACAGUUGCAGUGGGAACUCUGAAGUACAUUUACACCAGACCGAAUUUAAUCACACAUCAGCUUGACUGAUAGUUUAAACUGAGCAUUAUUGCAGCUUCUCCUGGCCUGGUUUGGAAACUUCGCAUGUUUCUCCUCCUAUAAUCUUCAUUGCAGAUUUUCCCAACAUGCGUUCCCUGCUGACUCCAAUCUCACCUCUUUCUUCCCGCCACCCACCCCACCUCCAGGCCUUUCUUGCAGCCAUGGUGGUGAGGUGUGAUUUGCUGCUGUUCUUGUCUGUACCAGCUGCUUGCACUGAGGCGCUUGCUCUUGUCUGUACAGGAGGGGAUGUUGCCAUCCUCUAAAAUGUUCUAUUUCACUAGAUUAUCCUUGGCAGAAGGGAAGAACUUGGCUGAAAUUUCCCUCCUAGUUCCUCGGAAAUAAGCAGCAACUUGGGUAUUUUACUCUGCUCUGUUGCGGAAUGCAGAUGUCUUUCCGCAAAAUCACCAACCUACUCACACCCAAGGUGGGCGGAGAGAGAAAUCUAUUUGAUUUUGGUGGGAAGGGGUUGCCACUUACCUUAGCAAAUCUCACCAGGAAGUGUGGCUGGUGGGAAGCUGUGGAAAGAGCCUUGUAAUGCAGUGCACAGACCGUGGUAAGCUGAGGACAGAGCCUUGCAUCACUGUGACAUCGUUAAAGUUAACAAUUUGCUGGUGAGGAGGAAUGAAAAACCCUUAACUGCUUUAUAGGUUUAAGUAAGGUAAGGUGGAAUCCCCUCCUAAACAUUACACACACAGAUACACACACACAUACAUAUAUAUAUAUAUACACACACAUAUAUAUAUACACAUAUAUACAUACACAUACACAUACACAAGUAUCUAUAUCCCAUGACCUUUUCACUCCCAACUAGUCAAGAAAAUAAAUUUACAAAAUUGAGUCUCACAUCUUGAAAAAUGUGUAUAUUGUAACCUAGCUAUCCAAGAGUUCUGAGCAAUGCACACCCAAUGCUUUAAAAAACAAAAAACUUGCUUUAGUAUGCAUGUGUGUCUUUAUUUAUGGUGAUAAUUGGUCCUCCCUCCCCCCAACCCCAGCUCUGGAAGGUCUAUCGUGCUGACAUUACAAUGUAGUGUUCAAGUGAGACCGAUCUCUCAGUGCAUGCGAGCGAUUGCAAGAUUGUUACUUAGCCGUUAUAAUUAGAACAUCCAUUCCGCAGAGGGAAAACAUUUAAAAGAUAAAGGGUGUAUUUAAAAAUGAAUCUUCCCAAUGCAAUUUUUUCAUAAUUAUAGUUUUAACAUCUUAUGGUGAUGGUGGAAGCGGCUACUUAAGAAAAAUUAGGAGCCUCAUUUGGGGGAAGAUGAUCCCUCAAGAGACCUCAUGUUGUCAUUUUUCAAGAGCCUGAUCAGGGAGCUCAUGGCUCCUGAUGCAUUGGAAAUAUCCUUAGCUUAUUAUGACCAGCGCUGGAUACUUUAAUUAAAAAUGCCACUAAAUAGGGUGGGGGGGUCUCAUUCCCUCUCUUUUUUAAACACGUGUUUUUUGAAUUAUUUUCUGAAGGUGCAACCAAAUGAACAAAUUGUGGGCGCACAAGCACAUACACAGCAUGCUGGGGUAGGGGAGCUAUAUCCCCUACAGAGACAGAAGCGGUUGGUUUCCCUAAUCCACAUAUGCUGUAUCUGAUCAUGAAAUGCUCUGACUAUAGCCCACAGCCCCCUAUAAUUUUCACAGUUCUCUGCAGUUGCUCUGUGUGUGUGUGUGUGUGUGUUUAAGGGAGGGGGGAGAGAGAAAGGCUUUUGUAUGUGUAUGUGGGAAGAAGGGGUGAAUCACUGUCACCUCAUUUAAAUUAUAAGGACGCCUAUUGUUUUACAAAUAACCUUCAUGAUAAAAAUAAAGUCUCAUGGCACCAUUUUCAACUGUGCUUUUAUCAGGACCCUCUGAGCAGAAGUGUGUACACAAUACGCCCGGCAAUCGAAUCACAGCUGUGCGUCUUGGUAGGGACUCUCGGUGGAGACAACACUUCGUUAAUUUAAACAAUUGUAGGCUGCAGGAGUUCAAAAAAUAAAAAAAAAUAAAACGAAAUCAGCUGACUUUAACUGUCACUAGCCCAAGCACCUUUAUCCCCAGGCGAGCAGCAGCAGCUGGAUUUCAUUUCUUGCUGCCAGACUGUCCGACAUCUUUGCUGAACAUCCCAGGAACUGAGCGCCUUUACUUUAAGGAUUUUAUUCAAGGUGACAGCUCCUCACACUUUAGCGUUCAGAUCACCUCAAGUAGCUGAGAUCUCAGUGAAAAUGAGAGCACUUCUGCGGCAAACUCCAAAUUUAGAUUGACUGAGGUUAUCCUUAGGCCUCUAGGACCCAACCUCCAUGACAGAACAGGCCUGCCAGGAACUUUAAAACUGCAGUGGAGUUUGUAAUGAUGUCUGGGGAGAAAUCUUCUGCAGGAACCACAGAGAAUACUAUAAGUGAUAGGAAAGGAUGUCAGGUUUCGUUAGGGCUGGAGACAGUGUUAGAAUAUACGUGGCAUAAUAUGGCACCGGUAUCUCUGUCAGCAUCUCUGUUUUCUGUCACCGCACACAAUUCCAGGCCUGUCUGUAGCCAUGACAGUGUCUUUUCAGAUCAGGUUAUUGCCAGCCCAAAGACUCGCUCAGCACACCGCCAGAUAGCCCCCUUUGUUUGAAGCCUGCCCUUUUGUCAUUAACGCACUUGAUGUCUAUUUAAAAUCUGAUGGUGAAUGCAGUAUCUGUUUUCCUGUCAAGAGAUCAUUGACAAUAUUAAUACCUCAUGUCCUUGCCUCAUUUUCUAAGCGCUGACACCUAGCUGCAGUCUCCGGCAUUCAUCAAAGAGCACUCUCUCCCCAGGAUUUCCAUAAACAGCCUUAGUCCCAAUUUCUGAGAAACAUGGCAGCCCUCGCAGAGGGCUUUUAUCAGUGCCGUCUGCCAAAGGAGUCUGAGGAAUGUUGCUAAUUAAACAAAACAAAACUAUUGCUAAUAAAAAACACACUUCGUGGUCUUUAAAUUUUGAUACUUAGAAUCUGAAAGUACAUUCAGCCUUAUGAAAAGAGGUAAUGAUAUCCACAGUGUUCAUGGGAAAAUGACAUUCUAGAAGAUAAAAGCCUGGUUUUCCGUAGAUGCUGACUCCUAGGAAAUGGCUGAGGAAUGGGUAAAUCAGUCUUUUUCUUGGUCCUGACACUUUUACUCUAUUCACCCAUACGUCUUUUCCAAUUUCAUGCAUUAAUAUGAUUUAUUUAUUUUUUUAAAAAAAAUGCAGUUAAAUAAGUAGAUAAGUGUAAUUGUAAAAUAAAAAUUUGCAUUUCAAAUCAUACUCUUCCAAAAAUACUUAUUUUAAAAUGUAUUUCUAGUGCGCACCUACACAUGUUGACUCAAUAAUAAGUCUCCCAUUGAGUUCAAUGGUGUAAGUGCAAGCCAAGUGUGCUAAGUGUAUUUGAAGGGAGCCUUUGGGGGGGGCUGUUGAUCCUGAGCUUUCGAACUCCCUGCAGGACAGAUAUCCACAGUGGGCAGGGCAGAAAGACCCAGUUUUGCUCCCCAACCCACACAUAUAUAAAUGUUUGGGGAGUUUAGUCCAAUCCAGGCCAAUAGCUUCUUCCUCCACCUUGAGAGCUGUUAAGCAUAUAGCAGUUUACUGAGAGAUUCUCCAUAGGUAACAAAAGUACAUUCAGUAUCUCUGUUUUUAAGUCUUGGCAUCUUUAAUAUCAAUCAACUACAGUCAGUUUGAGACAUUUUUGGUUGUAGUUAAUGAGGGGUGGGGGGAGAGAGGGAAGGAGAGGAAGACAAAGUGAGGGGGGAGAUGAGGGAGGCAUUAAACUUUAUUUGCAUAAUAUAUGAGUGGAGUUUUUUGUUCUCAUCGUCACAUGGAUGGGUGUCUUAUUUUUAUACAGUACAUUUUACGGAACGGAAUUCCUAGCUUUACCUUUUCCUGCCCCGAUCUCCUUGCACAUGCAACCAUUACACCAAUGCACUAAGCGCUAACCUUUUCGUUUCUCUUCUGCUGCAGGUGUCCUAGGGAAAUGCCGCUAUGUCUACUACGGGAAGCAAUCUGAAGGCAACCGGUUCAUCCGUGACGACCAGCUCUGAGGCGAACUCCGCAUCAGCAAAACCAUCCACGUUAGCCACACACAUCACACACACACACACACACACACACAAAAGCACAAACUUCAUCCACAUCUUUAAAAGGGGUUAAAAAAAAAAAGCUUGUGUAAACCAAAGUCCUCCAGUACCUUCUGCUGACUUUGCCAGACCUGUCAAAAUCAUCCUUCUGCUUUAGCUUGAGUAGUCACACAGAGAUUGACAUGAUUGCCUCUAAGCAGGUCCCAUCCACCAGUGUGACAGACAGCUGCAGCGAAGCACCAGGCCUGACAGGAAGAACACCAUGAUGGAUUGCCUGGCCCAAUUGCUGCUUGCAGAAGAGCAAAGGUCACACCUGGGGCCUCACUGAGCAUGCUCAGCUGCUUUUAACAAAACCAGCCCUGUUUUAUCUACAGCUUGCCUGUUGAGUAAGAAAGCUCUGUGUGUGACUGUGUCUGCAUGUGUGUGAGAGUGUGUGAGGGAGAGUGCACGCGUACACACACACACAAACAACAACACUUAACCUGGCUGCUGCUUGAAAUUUCAAAGAGCACCCCCUCCUUACCUGCCUUUAUUUUUUCUCAGGAAUUAAGUGUUUAUGGUAGAUGCACAAACAAUGCUGCCAUGCCGUAUGUGGCUUUGUGUUUCUUUAUUGGGGGAAAUAACAAAAGCUGUCAGAAAUGUGAUUUAAUUUCAAAUGCUGGAGGGGUGGUGGAAAUUACUUGAUAACAUGUGGAAGUGUUAAUAUUAAUUCCAAGCUCCUUGGGCAGGAGUUGGUUUCAUAGUUGUCGGGGGGGUUUUUUUGCAAAGAGGAGGUUUGGAGGUAAAAGUGCAGGAAUGGAAAGAGCAGGGAAACAGCAACAAAAACUGCUGAUCCGGAUUAAUUUUGGGAAAGGAGAAGGGACAAAAGAGCCGAAGUCCUCUCCCCUAACCUUAACUUGUGGAAAUCAGAACCACAAAAUAUGUAUCUGUAUGUCCUUAAGCAGUAUUGACAGUCCUUUUAUUAACUACUCAUCAGCAUAGAUCCAAAUGGAGCUAACCACACCUCUUGCCUUUUUGUGAACUAAAACUAUCGUCUUUUUAAAGUGUUUUCUGAAAGGAUUGUUUCGUAUUCUGUUUUUUUGGAUAGAUAUAAAAUCCCCUAAAUAUAAAACCAACUCAUGUUUGUGUAAUGAAAGCUAUUACCAUCUGAGGGACCACAAAGUCUUCUGUGAAAUGGGUUAGCGGUCUCAGGCUGAAAGUAGCCAUUACAGUAGACAUGUGUUUGCAACUGAAAACAGCCAGGUCAGAUCUCCUGCUUCUGUAACCCCUAGCAGUACAAACCGUGAUCAUGCUUUGGGUUUCCCUUCUCCACCUGUGCUCCUUGCAGGGAAGUAUGAGGGAUGUUCACAUUGUAUGCUUCAUAUGUCUUGACAUUACUAGUGGAGAGGAGAGGCAGAUAAGGUGUUGGGCUGCUGUUUUCAGUGGCAGCCUUGUAACAUCUGGUUCUGACCCCCAUUCACAUUCUGGGUUGAGGACAUGCUCACAGUGUGGAAAGGCAGAUCACAUGGCCUUAUGUGAAGGGUGGUCUUAUCCACCCAUAUAUUAACUUUUGUAUGUGGAGGGGGGAUUAGUGUUUGCAAAUACUAAACCAGGUCACUAGCUGAUUACCAUAUUUUCAAUAGCAGUCAUUUAUACCACACAAAGUCAUAGAGCAUCUCACCCAGGGUAGUCAGCAGAUCUUGACUUAUUCCAGAUGUUUGUUGGACUCCAGUUCUCAUAAUCCCUGACAAAUAAUCAGGAGUUCAAAUCUGACCAUUUCCACAGGGCAGCAUUUUGGCUAUGCCUUAACUAACCAGACCUAUCUAUCUAUAUCUGCAUACAUACAGAAAGUGCCAUUGAGCUCCGUUUCCACGUUCACAUAGCAAUAGGUCAAGAGAAAGACUGAAUCCAGGUUUAACAUUGGGAGCCAAUUUAAGUUUUUAAAAAGUCCUAUAUUUUGGAUGCAAGUGCGUGAGUCCUGCAGUUACAUUCCUGAGUGUAUAUCAGGAUUGUGACCAUUCCGGUAUCAUGUUCUGUCUGCAUUUUAAUACAUACAGAUAUGUAUAUAUGAAAAUGUAGAAGAAUAUCAGCGUGAGAAUUCUACACCACGAGUUGACUGCAAAGGAAUUGCUUUACAGUGGGUCAAAAACAGGAAUCCAUUUUCAGGAACUAUUAAUUUGUUAUUAAACUGAAUCGUGAUCCAAAAGGCUUAAAAUUAGAGGCCUGAGGGUAAUUGGUAUGACAUUAACACACGCAAAAAAAGUUUUUUGGGGAACUUGAACCCAUUUUCCCAAAACAACCGCGAGCUGUACAGAUUUACAUUUGACUGGCUGUUUUGAAUCGUAAGUACAUGUUUUGACCAUGGCAGUGGAGUUCAAAGCAGGGGUGUUUGAAAUCACCUUGUGUCACAUUCAGUCUGGUUGGAUAUCUCUUCUUGUCUACAUCAAGGACUUUUUAACCCUGCCUCAAACAAUAAAAUGCACUUGCAAACUGACCACAUGACUUUGGUGUUUUUCCCCCUCUCCCACUGCAAUGGUAUGUUGUUAUGUCAAAACCAUAUGUAUCAUUCUCAGAAAUGCCUUUUCACCCUUUGGAGGCAGAAGUAUUUUGAGAAUGCAUUGUGACCAGAGCGUGGUAUUAUUCCCAGCCUAAUUGAGGUUUGUUUGUUUGCUUUUUCAAUGUUGCAUAUAGCAACUUUAAUUAAAAUCAGCAUAAUUAUAUAACGCUUCAGCUACACAAAGUCUGGCAUACCUUUUUAUUUUAUUUUGUUUGGCUGCAGUAGACUAAAAAUCAGUACAUAUAUACAGUUUCCUUGCUAAGAAACAAUAAAACAGCAUGCAAAGGUUCUGUUGCUAUUCAAGCCUGUUCUCAGCCCCCGGCAUGGUGGGCAAAUGGCAGGGCCCACUGAGGCUGAUGCCUGCAGGAUCCUGCCUCUCUGCCUGUUGUAGCCAGCAGCGUAGCUAGCUGCUCGGGUGCCAGGGGCGGCGCGCGCAUCCUGCAGCCGGGAGUGGGGUGAGCCGCCCAUGGGGGCAGGGCACGCUGCAUGGAGCCUUUCCACUGCCUCCCCCUCAGCUGUAGGGCGGCUGAGGGAGAGGCGGAGGGCAGACGUUUCAGGCAGUGCUGAGCCUGCAGGCGCCCAAGCCACCAUGUCACUCCCAGGACAGACGUGUCGCUUGGGCACACUGCAGGCCCUGUGGUAACUGCCAGCCCCUGCGGUGUGGUGCCCAGUGCCAGCCACAUUUUGUUUAGAUUUUUGACUGAACUAAAAAGUUUUGUGAGCCCUUAAAAAAAACCACAACUCAUAUUUUUGUCAUUUUGCCACCCCCCUCAGUGAUGACACCUGGGGCGGCCCACUUCCCCUUCCUCCGCCACUGGUUGCCUCUACCUUCACUUGCUGGAAGAGACCAAGUGGCUGCCUGUCUUAAUCAGAGCUGGGCAGCCUUCAUUUUUAUGCCCCAUGAUUCUUUGAGUCAACACCAAACUAGCUUGCGACAGCAUUGUUCCAACUGUCUUUUGUGGGCAUAGCUGGGUAAAGCUGCGUCCAGCCCAGCAGGCGCUGUUGGCAGGAAAAGGAAGAAUUUUGCUGUGGGCAUGCCACUGGGAGGCGGCAGUAGCAACUCUUCCCAAUCUGAGCAGGACCCCCUGCUCCCCCCCCCCACACUUUGCAUUACUUACUUGGAGGAGUAAGUAUUUUCAGGCUUGGAGGAGCGCAGGUGGCUGAGAGGCCUCAGAUAUUUCACACAUGUCCUCUACGACCCUUGGAUGCCUGUGUUGUAUGUAGAAGCAUAAGAAGCCUCCCUACAACUUGCAUCCUUUCCAACCCAGACAAGACUCUCUUGUGCUGCCCUGGAAUGUGGCAGAGCAGGGAGCGUGCCCAUCUAGGUCAGGAGGAGCCCCAGUUGCUGUGGGGCCCUCUCAGGCCCCCGUUCUUCUCCUGUAGAAAUGAGAAGCACACUGGAACCUCCAGGCCUUCCUUGCCAAAUCAUAAUCAACCAGUUUAAUAACAAUUAACCU